rnacentral:lncRNA from 1 species
UUGAAUAUUCAAGAAGGGGGUGGGCAAUACUUACCCAGGCAUAUAGCUCAAGCACCUCCAUGUUUCUUGUAUCACUACAUGAUAGUCUCAUGCUCCUUCAUCGUUUGGUGAGGCCGCAUUCAUUUUUACAGUAAUGGAUUAUUACUGCACAUAGAUCUCAUUCAGAUGUGCAUUUUCAAGAGGGGGUCCUAAACUUGGCCAGUGGUGCAUGGUAGCUGUUAGAGGACUACGAAAGUAGGAAGAACAAUACUCUUACAGUACGAGUUAACUAAAAUCGUAAGCAACAGAAAAUCUGGUUCCCUCAAAUAAAAACUUCUAAAAUUCAACAAAACAAAAUCAGAAUCUCAAUCAUACAGUUCAAUCUAAUUUUUCAAUUUCUUUGCCGAAGAAAGGUGCAUCAAGGUGCAUCAAUCUCGGACACUAAAGGCUCUUUUGACACAUGUAGAUGUAGCUUUGCAUCUUCACUCUCAAACGAAACGAGGCAUUGUUGAAUUAUCAACCUUGCAACUGAUAUAAUGCCACGCACCAAAGAGGAUGCAGAAGAUAUUCUUCUCAGGAUUACUGUUAAUGCUUCUGAAAUCAAUCAGCCCUUGCCCUGCAAGAAAGAAAGGCAAGUGGAAAUGGGUAAGUAACUCAUUCAAUAUUCAUUCUUUAUAGCCUUUAAGUUAUUACUACCAUGACGACAACACUAAAAUUCAAAGAGGCUUCAGUGUAAUAUUCACUUCUAUGUUGCUUUGUAAGUAAUCAUACAUCUAAAUCUUAUUUACCUUAUGAGGUGGAGUUCCUGGUCUUAACAUGUUGCUGCCUACACCAAACUUUCCUUUCUUCUCAGAUGCUUUCAAGAUCUGGAAGGAACAUGUCAAUGUAUCAUCCACACUCAUCAUGGCACCAGCAUUAUCAAAUUCGCCACAGUAAUUUGGCGCUGAAAAUAUAGUCACCAGCUUCCUCUUUCCGAAAAACUCAUAUCCAUCUUCCACAACCUGAUAAACAACCCAUAGUUAAAUCCAGAAACAAUAACAGACACUUAUGUAAAUGGUGUAGCUAUGUUGGUCUCGCUAAGUUGUUAUUGGUGUAGUUAAGUUGGUCUAUGCUCUUUAAAACUUUUGUUAUAAGGGAUACCAAUCUUUAUUAUCAGUGCCAACAAGCACAAAAGACCAUCAUAAAGGAAGACACCAACAGUAGACGGGAGAGCAUGGGGAACAUGUAUACCUCGACACACAUAUGCAGUUGGAACACACAAAAUCUUUGCUAUUCAUUUUACAAGUUCACCAAAAUAUAGAAGAUAAGAUUUUAAUAUAUAACUGCAAAUUAUAUCCAUAUGUCUGAAAUACAUUAGGUUCAUAUGAAGUUCCUUGGUGAUACAUGAAUGAGCAUACCACUCCUUGAUCUUAAAACUGAAUUUCAAUAAAAAUAAAAGAAAGAAUGAUGUUAUCAUUAGAUGAUGGUAUCAUUAGAUUAAUAGAGCUAUAUAUAAAAGAUGGAUCGAAUACACAGAAUGGUGCUGACAGAAAGAAUACGCUAACUCAGUUCAUCAGCUAAAAUUUUUUGCAGGAAUAGAAGAUUGUGAAUAUCCCUAAAGUCAGCUUUUGCAUACUGGAUAGUAGUGAGUGAGCCCUUAAGUCAGUGGUAAUGGAAGCACAUAUAGCAGAGCAGAAUCAAACUCAACGCCAAAGGUCGACCACUACAAACUCUUCUACGUUCCCUUAAAUAUACAGUACAUGUACAUAGAUAAAUAAAAUGAAGACUAACGAAAAUAAAAACUACCUGGUGAGCACGGCAGACAAGAUCAAGAUCAUGUUUCUGGAGAAAUUCAGCAACCGUGUCAGCCCCAAAUGUAAAUGACACACCACGAUCAUUCUCUCCCCAACCAUCAACAUCUUUAUCAGGAUCAGCCCACAAAAGAUCACAGAGAAGUCCCUGAUCUGGUACAUCCACUGGGCGGGCAAUAUUUCUAAUCUGAUCUAGAUUUUUCAAAUCAGGAGAUAGACCACCAUGCAUGCAGAGGAUCUUCUCAUCAACAAGAGCAGCCACAGGCAGACAGUUGAAGCACUCAGUAAAAACCUUCCAAAUACGAACAUUAAAUCUUCUCUUGCACUCAUCAUAGAACCCGUAUAUACGGUUGAUGGAAGCACAUUCAUGGUUGCCUCUUAGGAGGAAGAAGUUUUCCUUGUAUUUAAUCUUAUACGCAAGGAGAAGGCAUAUUGUCUCUAUGCUUUGCUUCCCACGAUCAACAUAGUCCCCCAGGAAUAAAUAGUUGGCCUCAGGUGGGUACCCACCAUACUCAAACAACCGUAAAAGAUCAGAAAACUGACCAUGAACAUCUCCUGUGGUACAGAAAAUGAAAUUCGUCAUCAUACUGACUAAAGAUAAGUUCAUAUCUACUCGACUCAGGACACAAAACAAAUGUGAUAACAAUCAAAAUUAUUCCAAACACAACUACAAAUUGACAUUUGAUUCAAUCCACAUAUAAAAACAGAUCCAUCAUUACAAAGGAACUAAAGGUUCAGUUCCUGUACUUCCAGUAAUGCUAUCAAAUCCUGGCACAUAAUCCCGCCAACGCUGAAAACAUUUCCAGUGAAAAAACAACACUAAAUCCUUUUGUAUAUAAAAUUUGUUUGUUUGGACACACUGCUAAAAACCUGUCUGUGAACUACGCUUCUAUAAAGUACUCCACUGAUUGUGCAAACUAAUUUAUGCUAGCUUGUAAUUGCUCUUAAAGUUCUCGUCUUUACGAUUCGGCCUGCUGUUCUAUCUACACUUAACUACUCUUCUGUGCUACUCAAACCCUACACACAGUGAUUCCACCAGAACAAAACCAAAGCAUUCUCCACAUACUAAUCUACUUAACAACACAAACUACUCACAAAAAUACCCCAUUUUCAAUCACCAAAGCCUUUUCAAGAACAAAAUCCCAAUUCUACAUACAGAAAUGUAAAAAGAUAGUCAAAGAAACAAGCUUUCAAUUCAGCCUAAGCUAAAAACCGAAGCAGAUUAGAGUGAAAUUUGUAUACCGCAAAUCUUGAUGGGAGCUUCGAGUUCGAGAAGGUUGGGCUGACUGAGAAAGAUCUCCUUGGAGGUGGUGCAGAGGUGCCGUAUCUCCGCCUCCGUCAUCUGCACCUGCUUCGUCGUCCGGCCGCUCUUCGCCGACACCAGCCGCCGUAUGAGAUCGUCCACAAUCGCGUCUCCCAUCGCAAACACGAAACCCUAGCUCUCUCUCUCUCUCUGAGCUCUCUCGCCUCGGUUGGUCCAAAAGUCAGAGAGAGAAGAAAGAUAAAGAUCGGAGUGUAAGGGCGAGGCGGAGCGAAUCAGAAUAUUAGGGGAAAUCGAAAUCAGAGAGAAAUAUUGUGGUAGGGUUUGAAACUUUGAAUAGAGAGAUUUAUGAAGAUGUGGUGGAGGAGUGCGUGGCGGCCAUUUUCGGAGUUGAAGAAAACGAGUGUGCAACAACAGUUAAAAGAAAAGGUUAACAAAAAAUAAAAGGUUCGUGCCAACCCUAUCUGGAAACUUGGGUGGGGGCAUGCGGGAGGCACGUGCGUGCCCGGUUUUUGGUUACUCUGAUGGUGAUCAAGUCGUCCUUCGUGUUUGUUUCUUUGUGGGGAAAAAUCCUCAAAAACUAAUAUUAUGUUUACCCAUUUUGGUACUUCCGUCCGUUUUACCGUUAAAGACAGGGAUAAAGUCGUCAAAAACAAUUUUGUGAUUAAAAUUAUUUUGUUCAACCCAAUAGCCGACAUUUUUUUAUUGAGGUUAAACAAAUCCAUUCAUUGAUAAUAGAGAUUAUAUCAUGAAUCGAUCUAUUGUCUUGCGUAUAGAGGGCAAAUAAGAUCGUUUGAUUUAUGUAAGGGAGUAGUCUCCUUACAAAUUUCUUGCUCACUUGAUACCAAAGAGAGCCUACAGUCUUUUAGGAGAUUUUAGGCUAUGAAAGCUUUAAAAUUGAAAAAGGAAAUGCAGAUUUGAAAAAACAAAGCAACAAAAAAUCCAAACUAUGGCUGUAACAACGCACAACCAUAGUCAAGUCUUUAAAGCAAAUUAAGCAAGCUCCUUGCCCUUAACAGAAAGGCUCGGUGGCAUGGUGUGGUGAUGGGAGUGACUGAGGGAAAUGGCACCUCCAGAGUUGCAUUCCUCUUGCCUUUCUUGUUUCGAGACCCAAUUGGCAUGCCUCGCUGUUUACCAUUAACACAUGUUGGUUGAAAAGGUACAAUAACAGUAUUUUCAGAAAGCAUUGUAGGAAAAUUUGGAGAUGGAUGAUGCUUUGAGGAAUGAAUUUGUAGGUUGAGGCGUGUAGUUCACUGCCCUUAAGAGUAGAUUUCCGCCCUUCGGAGAUUGUAUCUCGGUGUAGCAAGUAUUGACAGUCUACCCUCCAGAGUACAACAACCUCGACUCUAGUAAGUGUACACUCACAAUACUAGAAUCGUAUCGAACAACUUAAUUAUCUCUCUUUGGUUUAGAAUAGGAAACAAGGAAGAUAUAUAGAUUGUUGUUAUUUAAUUGAAAUGGAAACUUGGAGCUUAUAUAGGAAAGAAAUGAUCAAUGAAACGGACAACGGAACAGAAGUGUAAUGGCAGCAAUUUAUGAAUAGGAAUGUAAUGCCACUAAACACUAAUAUUCAAACUAAAGAUAUGAGAGGAAUAAAUAUGGAAAUAAAGAAUUGACCAUUAUUAUUACACAAUUAUGUUUCAAAACGUUAGGAGUUUAUGGCAUAUAGAGCAACCACAAUUAAGAAGAAUAAUGCCAUUGACAAACGGUCAAAACUGAAGGAGCUUCAAAUUUAAGUAAGGUAUUUUGAAAUAUUUGAAUAAAAUUCCAAUAAGCGAACCCAGGGAUUUAGUAGACAAGGCAGCUAGCUAGGAAAUCUAGCUGCCUCAAAUUCUUGGUACCAGCAGCAUCGGCUUGCAACACAUCAACCACCAACAUCUUGAGUUUCUUUGGUGGCAUUUCGGGGGAGAGAGGACGAGCUCGCUUGGAUCCCACUGCAUUGUUGUACGCCGCAACCUCAGCUUGAUCACCAUCAGCUUCCUUGUCUGAGUUGUCUCCGCUCAAAGUAUCCUCCAUGCCUUGUGUUACCGGAACCAAGGCAAGUGCAUCCGCAUCCGCAUUCAAAUUUCUUGGGUUUCUGAUCAAAAUUGGCUUCCUUGGUUUUCCAGUCUACUUCUUAUCAAAUGGAGAUGGUCCAGCAAUCGGAGAGACAUCAUAUUGAGCUCCUUUAAACUUGAAUGAGCUGUGGAACAUCGCAUUCGCCGCAAAAUGGAGUGUUGGGAUUGGAUUAGAGCUAUUGCUUCAUUAUGGGAACCUGCAAGUUUGUGAAAGAACAUCAGUAGCCAAAUCUAUAAGAAUGGCUAUUUCUAGCAGUGCGUAGAACUUUUACUUUCACUUCAAAUUGUCUUUCGCUGCUUCCCCUGUUCCCCUGUUCCCCUUAACAUCUAUAGUUUUAAUUCGUAACUGCUGAGCAUCUACAAAUAGACGUGUCCAUUUUGUAAAACGGACAUUGAUCGCAUUGAUAUGACAGAACUUGAUAUUCUUUGCAUAGCAUACGAAAACCCCAGGUUUUUUCUGCCCAAAAUUUAUUCAAUACCACUGAUCAACAUGAAAUAUAACUCAGAGAAACCAACCAACAGAUCGAAAUAAGAAAAACCCUUAUGAUAAUCUUACCUGAAUUAGAUGAGCAAAGUUAUUGUCCGAGCUGGAUUUCUGUCCUCCUUGCUUUAGUUUGACAACCUAGUUGAGGAAUAUAGUAGAGAAGGUAAGCAAUUUUCUAUGACCCAAGCGAAUAAGAAAAAGAAUCAAUUAGAAAUACAAUUUUCUUUCACCACCAAAUGGUCAAGAUCAAUUAGAAAUUGAAAUGGAUAGCAUAGCACAACACAGAUUAUUUUUUCUAAUGCUUUUAGGACAUGUUUACUAACAUGGAAUGGACUUGAGAGUGGCGGAAUUGAUUCCGGAAUGAGAGAAUUACGGCGUUUACUAACAUGUCACGGUAUUAGAAUGGAUGUGGAUCUCACUUGCUCAUCAGGAAUCGAUUCCUUAUAAACCCCUAAUUUGAUACCCAAUGAGAGAGGUGGGUUUAGGAAUCAAACAUAUGGAAUCGACUUUUCUCCCUAAAAUACCCUCGCAUAAUUUUAGUAUCUUUAAAUUACUCAACUCUAGAAAUACCAAUAUAUAUUAUAUCGUCAACUUCAAAUAUAUCAACUACGACAUCAAAUCUAUAUGAUCAUCAUUGUAUGCAAAUUGCUAAUAUUGUUGGGAAUUUCAUCAAUAAAAAAAAUAACAAUAAAAUUGCAACUAUUAUAACUUCAUUUCUUAUAGGGAUAUUUUAGUAAUCAAACGAGUUUUAAUAUCGAUUCUUAUAGUGAUUCAUUAUGGGAAGUAAACAAUUGAAUAAAAAUGAAAUAUUCUCAUACUGAUUCCGAAUAUUUUCUAUUCCAAGUUAGUAAAUGUGUCCUUAAUACAAUUCGACGGAGAGAAAUAAUUAGUUUUGCAUGUAAAGAGAAGAUGAGAAGAUAUAACCGCACACUUAGUGGGAUGGUGAUAGUUAUCUAAAUACUUGCACGUCUUAUUUUUUUAAUUAAAUGUUAUUUUUUUCGUUUAGGAAAACUGUUUUUCCUUUCUUAUUUUUUGUAUCCAUAUUAAUUUACUGUUCUAUCCUUCAUGCAUUAAGUUGUGUUGAGGAAUAUAGCAGUGUUAACCUAGUUUGACAAAGUUUGAGUCACGAUGGCACAGAGAGGGAUUCUCAUGAAGAAGGCAGGAAAAAAAAGUAAAACCAGUGUUUACGGGCCUGCUGCGCUAUGGAUGAGAUUCAAAGAUUCAGGCGGGGGAGUCCUUAUUAGAGGAUCUUAGAGUGACAAGAGAAAAAACAUGUUUCAUUGGAUGAGGCAGGAAAUGCAAAAAUUGAAUCGGUGGCGGAUGAUACUCUUCCUCCACUUGAACACAGAGAAGAAAGUUUUCGAGGGAAAAAUCUCCCAAGUGCUCCCAAGUGCAACAUGGAGAAUACUUUGAGAACACUACCUCUGAAGAGAAUAAACAAGUUAAUAACAAAAGAAAGUCUGAAGAAAAUAUUAUGAGUCAGAAUAAUUCUCAGAAAGAUGUAUUUGCACGACAUCAUAACAACUUUAAAGGGACGACCCAAGUGCAGCAUCAGAAGAACUUUGAAGAAGCAAAUGUUCAAGCGCAAUGUCGAAGCAACUUUGAAUCUGGCAUGAGAGCUCAAAAAUGUAAUAUACUGGAUCUUUGGAGGGCCGGGUAUGCUAGAAGCAAUCAAGGAACUAGUUGGGAUACUUAAUGGCUAUCGUGUACUUGGAGAACAAGUUCAUAAUGGCCAAGCCACUAGAGCCUUGGUACCAAAAUGUUAUCUAGUUGGGAUAUAAACAUACUAGCUAUAUAUAGCUUAUCUAGCCAUAUCCAAAAUGUUACUCCAGAACAUCACACAAAGCAAUACUAUAGUUACGUUCUAACUAUUUGCAUUAAUUCAACGGUGACUAAUAUUGCAUCACAAGCCUCCUGCAUGUAACUGUUUAUAGACUUUCAACUGCUAUAUAUACGAAACAAGACUAGCUAAUUAAUCAAGUGAGAGUCAUGAGUGUGCUUGUUCGUUUCAGGCAACUAUAUUUGAAAGAAAUACGGAGGGAGUCGAAACCCUAUCUUUCAAGACCUGAUGUAUAUAAAAUUUGAUGAUCCAUCUAUAAAAUUUGCUUUCUCCAAGAUAUUAUAAGUCAAAAACUCCAAAUUAUCAGAGAUGGAAUUAUAUAUUCCAAUCAGUAUUUCCAUCCACAAAUAAAGCCUUCCGUUUCCGAAACAGAAGUCGUAUAUAUAUCGAAAACCUGAUCUCGAAAGGGCGAAUCUAGGGUUUCAAAGAGAAACGAGGAUGUCGACGCCGCUGCCGCGGAACCUGGUGCUUGAUCGUAACAUAGGUUGGCAUCAGGAGGUCUUCGUUACGCCGGAGAAGAAUGAGGUGAAUCCGUUCCUCGAUCAGAAGUCCAUUGCACCUGAUUACGAUUGGGAGAAAUUGAUGCCGCCAUCGGAGCAAGGUUUGGAGUUUAAGCCACAAUAUUUCCUUAUUGUGGUGUACCCCCUGCGAGGUAUCCUUACUUUCUUUCUCUCAUCGCAUCUGGCUCAGAGAUUUGAAAUUAUCAGUUUAGUAGAUUGAAAAUGCUUUGUAUGUGCAGACUAUGUGUUGGCAAAUCAUUGGCAUGAGAUUCAAUGUGCUGCGGAAGAUAAUGGCUUUGGAAUCGCGCUCAAAGUGGUAUCUAUGAAUUUGUUUUUUCCUAUUCUACUCUAGAGGAUCGACUCGAUUAAUGGUGGUUUGAAUGGAAAUUGUUGUAUUUCAAAUGCUGUAGGGUCAGAAUGUAGAUUUGUUUUACAUUACAAUGGCAACACUGCCUAGCAGUGCAAAGGAUCCAUGGGCUUUUCCCAAGGCUAUUAGGUUCUGUGAACUUUUGGCAACCACCAAUGUUCCACCAUCUGUGGUAAGCUCUAGGUUCUUAUUUCUACUUUUGUUAUUCCAUCACUAUUGCUAUUGGGGAUCUGAGUGCAUACACGACCUUCCGAUUGCAGGCAAUACAAAUACUGAAUGGUGAUCUGGGACACAAAUACCUGCCGAUUGGGCGUCAACAAGGAGGGCUUUGCUUGAAGCAUGACAUCCCGCAGGUGACUAAAUACAUUUGUCGUUGUUUCAAAUCACUUUUUCAAGUUUACUCUUAUUUUCAAUCAACCCUUUUCCUUAUUUUUUUUAUCUGUGACCGUCUUUCUGUCCCUUUGAUUGAGUAGUAGCUGCUUGAAGCAUGGAUCCAUAUGUCUUGCUCUCAGCCUUUUCUAUUUCGUGCAGGCUACAUUUCUGGAACGGUAUGGGCGGUUCUUUUACUUCAUCAAGGUGCGCACCAUUUAUACUAUGAUUUACUGUUUGUUCACUCUGUAUUUGGUGAUGGUCAGUUCUUUCCUCUUAACAACAUAUUAAAUCAGAUGUUUCGCAUAUGCAGGAUCGUUUGGUUUCUUAUGGUGUCUCACUUUAUCUCACGGUAAGGGCUUCUACUGUCCUUUGCGACUCUGUAUACUUUCUUUCUUGUCUUCUAGUUUACAUAAAUUGAAUGGACACUGUCAUUGGUUUUGAAUGACUAGGGGAAUACAAUUACUGUUGUGGGCAAACCACAGCUAGAGCUGGAAAUGGAGAAGGUGAUCGCCUAUGCAAAACUCUGUAUUAUUGACAAUGAGGUUAAUCUCAAGAAGAAACUGAACAAGAAGAAAGGGAACAAGAAGAAGGAAGGGAGCAAGAAUGAGGAGGCUUUGCCUCUAUCAUCUGCAACUCAAGACGAAAGGGAGCAAGAAGAAAAGGGCAAGAAAGUGGAUCUAGGGUUGGAAACAGAAACGACUACGCUGAAGCCGUCAAUGGAGGUGGAUCUAGGGUUGGAAACAGAAACGACUUUGCCGAAGCGGUCAAGCUAUGUGUUUAAAAGAGCAACGACGAUGCCCAAGGUGUUAAGGGAUCAGCAUUGCGUGGUGAUUGAUGAUUUUGUCGGUUGGGAAGUGAAGAUUAUCCCUCGGAAGAACAACAAACCCGAUCCGGUGGUGGAUCUAGGGCUUGAAUCAGAAACAGCGAUGUCGAAGCCGUUCGUGGUGGAUAUAGGGUUUGAUACAAAAACAACGACGAUGCCCAAGGCGUCAAGGGAGCGGCCUCGUGUGGGGAUUGACGAGUAUGUCGGUUGGGGAUUGGAGGUUCUUCGUCCGAUUAGCAACGAACUCAGUUCGCGGCCGGAGACAGAUGUCGUCCAGCAGGAGGACAUUUCACCUGAUUACAAAUGGUCGAAAUUGAUGCCGCCAACGAAGCUCGUGAGGGGAAAACUGGUUGUUGAACCAGGAUGGGAGUUCAAGCCACAAUUUUUUCGUGUUUGGGUGUACCCAUUGCGAGGUACGUACCUAUAUAUAUCUUUUUAAUCCUUGUUACUUGGCUCAGAGAUUAGAAAUGAUCAAUUAAAUCGAGAUUGGAAUUGUUUUGCGCAUGCAGAAUAUUUGUUGACAACUGAAUGGUCGGACAUCAAAGUUGCUGCAGCAGAUAACGGCUUUGGAAUCCUGAUGAGGAAGGUACCGAAUGAAUCUGUUUUUCCAUAUAUACAUUCAAUCUAGAUGACUAGAGUAAGGGUUGUUUGAAUUGAAAUUGUUGUAUUUCAAAUGCUGUAGGGUUUGAGAAGGUGGUCCAUUUUUGCGGCAGUAGGACCAGAGGAUCCAAAGGAUCCAUGGGCUUUUCCCAAGGCUAUUAGGUUCUGUGAACUUUUGGCAACCACCAAUGUUCCACCAUCUGUGGUAAGCUCUAGCAGGUUUUUUCUACUUUUGUUAUUCCAUCACUAUUGGCUUUCCUAGCAAUUACAACCUUCCCAUUAUUGCAGGCAAUAGAUAUACUGUAUGGUCAGCUGGGACAUAAAUACUUGCCGAUUGGGUGUCAACCAGGAGGGCUCUGCUUGAAGCAUGGGAUCCCGCAGGAUACAUUUCUCAAACGCUAUUAUCGUUUCAUUUCCCAAACUAAGGUGCACCAUCUUAACUGUGUUUUACUGUUUGAUCACUCUAUUUGGUUGAUUUACAUGUUCAGUAGGUUCCUUCGUCUUAACAACAUAUUUAAUUGGAUGUUUUGCGUAUGCAGGAUAUUGUGGAUACUUUACCUGGAGUCUCGCUUUAUCUUACGGUAAAUGCUUUUACUCUUACUUUUAUACUCUCUUUUCUUUUUCUUUUCUAGUCUCCAUUGAUUGAGUGGACGAUGUCUGGUUUUGAAUGACCAGGGGAAUACAAUUUCUGUUGUGGGCAAGCCUGAGCUAGAUCUGCUACUGGAGAUGGUGGUCAUCUUUGCGGAAAGCUAUAUUGUACACGAUGAGGUACCUGCAAAUCUUCCUGAGAGCGUGAAAGCGAAGCUUGAUUUUGUGAAUAAGCAAAUGGAGGCUUUUUCUAAAGAAGGACCUCUCAAGAAGAAACGGAGCAAGAAAAAACUGAGCAAUGAUGAAGAACCUCUCGAGAAGAAACAGAGAAAUGAGGAGGCGUUGUCUCAAGAAGAACCUCUCAAGAAGAAACUGAGCAAUGAGAAGAGGCUUUGUCUCAAGAAGAACCUCUCAAGAAGAAAGUGAGCAAUGAGGAGAGGAGGCUUUGACUAUUUUACUGUGGGUGCGUCUCUUUCCAAAUAACAAAUUAAUUCCAGCAUGAGUUUGCUAGUAUUAACCAAUCCAUGCCAGUUGAUGAAACUGAGAAUAUGGCCGGACAUUGUAUAUAUAUCUCUCUGUUUUCUGUAAUAUUGACGUUCCAAUUUCUACGUAGACAAAAGAAGAUUCGGUAUUCCUAUAUAUCAUGAAUGCUAUCAUGAGGGCGCAUGUUAGACUUUUCCUCAGACUGCUCCAGUAAAGUUCGAAACAGAUUUGGAGAUUUCUUAUAUGAACGUUUCUUGUUUUUUGUCAGAUACAUCGCCUGCUGCUUAUGUUUCUUUUGAGCCUGGUUCUCUUUCCUAACCUAUAUAUGUUUCUUUAUUUUGACAGAUUAAAUGAACAAAUAAAAUAUGUUGAUAAUCUUUCUUUGCAGCUUGCUGUAUUAUGGAUUCGACAAUCGACAUGGACAACAAGUUUUGAAUUUGAAAUUGUGAGUUUAUGAUUGUGGAUCAGUCGAUGAUCGCUGGGUAAUUUGAACUUUUUUUAUCCACCGCUGAAAAAAAAAAUGGAAAUCGGAGCUCUCUCCGAUCAAACUAAGCCAGGCCUCUCCUUCCGCCUUGCCCGCCUUUCAAAUGUGUCACCAUCAAAAUUCCCAAAUUUUUUUGAGAAAGAUCAAACUACCCAUAUUUUCAAAAGUAAUUAAAAGAAGUAGGGAUGUGAAGUAAGGACCUUGCAGUCCUUGCAUUGGUUCAUUUUUCUGAAAUUACCAUUUUGUCUAUCUCUCUCACACACACAUAUUUCAUGCGGGGGUCAGCUAUCUAGUUGAAACAGAUUUCGACUUAGUAGGAGCAUAUGUUAUUACUUAUCCUAGUUACAUAUGGUUUCAUGUAUAUCUGAUUCAUAUAUGGUAGGGAAUCCAUUAGCAACAGAAUAUUUGUGUUGGUGAUGCAUUAGGAAAUCUUAUACGAUAUAACUCGGACAUCAAGCAGUAUCUUUAUGGGAGAUCUUUUGAUGUCUUAGUGCCUCUAUAAAUAAGGUGUGUAAGUCCCUGCAACCUGUGCGACUAAAAGCAUAAGUUCUCGCCCCAUUCAUGAGAAGCUCAACCUUAGAGAAUUGCAGAAGACUUGUGCUUGAUACGGACACGGUUUCCAAGGUUUCAAAGACUUUUAAAGUUUGUACAUGUACAUGUGUUAGCUCUAAUUUGUUCAUCAUAUAUGUAAAUACAAUUGUGUCGUCUAUACUCUUGUGAAUGAUCUUGUGGCAUUAAGAUUUACAGCUGAUUCUUUCAGAAAUAAUUCGUUUCUUUUUGCUAUCACACAGAGCUGCAGGCGUAAUGCAAUGUCCGUAGCUUCUUGUGUACCUGGUAGCUGUUACUGAUUUUCAUUUUAAGGAAAACAAAAAAGAGAGAUUUUAUUUUAAGAAUUAAGUGAAUGAAGCCUGCUAAUUUACUAAAAGCAAGAAAAUCAAAAACCAAUUUUGCUAACGUUAAAAGGGUUUAUAGUGAGGUUAGUUCGCUUGAGCAUGCAUUACAGCUUGUUCUUUAAGUGGUACAUCGCAAAGAAAUUUGUGGAAGUGGAUUUAGUGUAACCAUUUUGAAUCGGGGUGCCACAACUCUUUUAUUCUAAGCUUAUUUCAUAUUCAUCACUCUACAUACAUGUAUCCAGAAUUGAUAUGUUAUCAUAUAAAUCACUGCCGCCCAGCUGCAUAUUAUAUCGCAAUUUUCAGACCUUCUAAAGAAGUCUUCCCAAUGCAGUAGUUCGUUUUCGAUCCUCUUAGCUAAUUCACCUGGUUAUUCAACUUCCUUGAAUUGAACUUUUGACAGGCUGUUCAACUGAAAGUUAGCCGUGCUAAAAAUCUACCAUUAUCAUAAAUUUGAUAACUUGAUGAAUGAAAAUCUGGAAAAUCUGGAUAAUGAUACAAGCAAAGGGGAAAAGCUGCUGUACCGGACGGUAUAGCAUACCGUCCGGAUCUGUGCCGUUCAACAGGGGUUGGGGAGUGGGGUAGGGAGGAGAUCGUGCGGUGGAAAACCGGCCGGCAUGCUAUGCCGUCCGGUACAGCAGAAUUUCCCAGAAUUUGCUCUUUGCUUGAAAGAGCAAAUUGACAAGCUGGGAAAAAAGUACAGAAGCAGAAUAUAAAGGCUGGAAAUUGGAGCGACUUGUUCUCGUUCUUCAAGUUGAUGGAAUUGGACUGGGCUGCUAGGAUAAGGACUGGGCCGACUGGGCUUGUACUCUUAACAAGCAGCACCUCCUCCAUCAAUUUGAUCCGGCUAAUUUCAUUUGGCUCGAGAUAAGAUGCAUCUGCUACAAACUAAUUCUACGACUUCGUCGAUAAGCUCGUACUCGAACCAUUCUGUCGAUAUCCAUCGAGCGAUGCCACUGAGUUUUGUAAAAGCACUUCUCCACCUUCGCACUUUCGCUCUGUCGUUAACGUAAUUAGUAUCAUGCUUGUUGAAGGCUUCUGCAAAAGCUCCUCUUUGGUUCGGUAAACUCUUUGGCUUCACCUUGUAGAAAAUUGGGAGAAUUGUUGUGCCCUUGACUUCCAUGCAGUCCAUAAUCUUUGUAAGUUCUUCCAAGCACCAUGUAGACGAAGCGUACUUUGGUGAGAGGACAACAAUGGCAAACCUCGACUCUUCGAUUGCAGCCAAGAGGUUUGAAGAGAUGUUUGUGCCUCUUUUUAGUUCUCGAUCUCUGAAUAUUUUGAGUCCUCGCCUUUGCAGGGCUUUGUACAAGAAGUGAGUAAAACCUUUGCGGGUUUCCCCAGUGAAACUCAGAAACACAUCGUACCUCCAUAGUUGUGUUUUGUUGCAUUUGAAAGUGGUGCCGAACAAUCUACUCCCUAUGUACAUAAACCACGAUCAAUUUUGCCAACCUAAUCUUCCAAACCUUUGGGAAUAUAGAUUUACAGAGGAGGAAAAAACCUAAAACAACAUGCACACUUUUUGUAAUCCGUGAUCCCAUCUCAAGAGAUUAAAAUCUAGCUUCCCGGACGGGGCAGUAAUACAAAAAAAAUUGGGGAAAGGGAAAUUUUGCCGGUAGGCUAGAGAAUAUAUAUAUAUAUAUAGCAAUACAUGAAUUAAUUUACAUGUAUGAUGAACAGAUUAUUUCUAUGGAUAUCUUCUUGCUUAUGCCUCAGGACAACGAAGGUGGCGAUCCAAACAUUGUGAUCUCGGAAAACACUAUGUCAACGUCGGAAAAUUAUAUACUGCAUGACUAAGAAAGCAAGGAAUUUGACGUAAUCUCCAAUGAGUACUCUUGUUGAUUACUAUCCGAAAUUGUCAUGAAGCUCUUUGUCCUUUUCUUGUAACAAUGAAACUUUAACAUUUUCAGAACAUGGAUGAGAUAAAAUGGCCAUCGUUGGUGAAAUCGAUAAUGAUAAGCACAUUUGGUGCAACUCCUACCUCGAUCGCAAUAUAUAACAGGAAAAAAAGAAGGAAAAAUGACCAAAAAAAAAUAAUCAUAUAACCGAAACAGAUUCUGAUAUUCAAUUUGGAACGAGAACUAAAGGACAUAGGUUUUCUCCUGAAAUUACUUGGAAAAAAAAUAAUGACCUAUGUCAAAGUGAAGUACAAUUUAAAAAAUGGAACAAACCCUAGCUCGAUAUAUGAAACCAUGGCCUUGAGACCCGUUGCUUAAUCUGUUGACUUAUUAGUGAUUUUAGACUCUAAAACUAAUUAAGAAACACCUACUUAUUUAAUGUCAACAAAAAAAAGUAACUGAAUACUUGAUCUUAAGUAAAAGUUCUGCCCUAGUAAAAAAAAAAAAUAAUUGUUGAAGUUGUGAACUUCUUUAACUUUUCGAAGUCCUGGAAGGUGAAAUUCUUCAGAUUGGCCAAGUCCUGGAAGGUGGCAUCUCAUGCAUACCAAUCUUGAGUCCACUUUUGUAUAAACAUUCCAUUGCCGAUCUUGCUUCUCGGCUAUGUUGGUGAUACUUUGCAAAACUUCUCGUUUGAUUCCGUGCAUUCGAGAGCAUCCCCUUGUAAAAGAUAGGAAAAAUGGGGCUGCAGACUUCCGUGCAUCCAAAAAUCUUCCAAAGCUCGUCCAAGCACAAGUGGAAGAUGAAUAUUUUGGUCGUCCUCAACUUCACUCCUCCAUAGCAGUCAAGAGGUUCGAAGAAAUGUAUGUGCCUCUAUAUAGUUCUUGGCCUCCUCUUUGCAGUUCCUUUGGAAAGUGGUUAAUCGUACCAAUCUUCUCCCUCUACAUACAGCAGGGACGGAGGAUAGUAGAACCCUCUCACCAUAUAAAGCUUAAAAAGAAGUCAAACAGCCUGCAUUUUUUUGGAACAUAGAUGCACAAAUAUGAACCAAAAAAAGUAAAAGAAGCAUUAUUUAAAUUAUUUUUUGUAUAUGUAAUAAUAAAACAUACAUAAUCUAAUGAUUUUAUUUAAAGUAUAAACGUUAAUUGCAUUAAAGUUUGAAUUUAUUAAAAAAAAGUUUAGCCCAGACUGUUUUGGAAUCCUGGUUCCGUCUCUGUACAUACACACAAGUAAUUAAGACAACACAGUUUUGCCAGCCAAAUUUUAGAGAAGAAAAUGGAUCUAGCACAAAACUGUAUACUUGUCACCAAAAACUGAUCUCAAUCACAACCUUGUGGAUAUUUCGAGUCGCAUCAGGUUAGGGGUUUUUUUUUUUUUUUUGGGGGGGGGGUUGGUGGUGUUGUGUGGGGUGGAAGGGUUAGUAUGGUUCAGUAGUAAGGGGAUUAUAUACACCAGGAUUACAUUCUGUCUAUUCCGUUUUUUGCAAAAACGAUUUAAUAAUAAGACAAUUUAGUGUUACAGCUAUAACUUCUCUUUGCUUUGUUUUUAGUCUUAUCUCAUAUAGGUUGAACGUAGCGUUUUGAUGGUUAUUGUAAGGACCAGUGUCAAUCUGACAUGUGUCCCACAUGACAACGUCCAAGCUAUUUAGCUGGACUUUGCUGUAAGAAGGAGGCAGACAAUUAAUCAAGCUUUUAAUAUUUUCAGUCUAUUUUCUUUGUUUUUCUUCCUUCAUUAACAAUCUGGUAUCAUAGUCUCCGAUUUGGGGGCCAUGGCUAACAAGAAGGGGGGUGGAGGAGCAUCUACAGCUCAGACUCAUCCCGGAGCUGAAUCAUCCCACCAACUUGAAUAUGAGUUCCAGGUUCAUCGAGAUGAGACAGCUGCGCAGAUAUUGGUGAUGCAAGACUCGGUGACCUCGAUGCAAGGGUCUCUAGAGGAGGUGCAACGCUCUGUAACCACCAUUAAGGCGGAGUUGAUAGCUGAGAUGCGUCUGCUCUUACUGGAGGCGAACACCAACACUGCAGCUCCCGGAGUGGAUCUAGCUGAGAACGGAGCUCCAGCAACCACAUCGGCUUAAAUCAAAUUUGGGUCAUUGCAAGAGGUUGGUGGUGUGGUUGCAGUCCCAAGUUUGGCGACUCUAAAACCGUCAUCAGCAAAAGCCACUAUAGCAGCUACCUCGACGACUUCGUCACCACUUCCAGCACAGGGAAGUACUACGAAACCACCUUUUUUUGAUUCUGAAAGGUUAUCGUUUCGUGAGUUAUAGCACCAUGAAGUGAUUUUGGGGCUGAAUUCUGAAGUUACUACUGCAUUGGCUAAUGUUACUAAAGGGGUAGCUGAUCCUAUUAUGUUUGAUCUUACAAAAGUGAUUGGGUCAACUGUGCCUUAUACUGAUGUGAAUGCUAGCAGAAGUCUGGGAAGUACAGGAGGAGGUCACCCUAAACCUCCUACACAAAACUACUACCAAUAUACUAAUUUUGGGACUAAUCCGUUUAACUAUAUAACAGGUCCUUUUCCUGUUACAAAAAUGAGUACUAAUUCUGGUUAUAGUACUGUGGGUUUUGCACCUACCUCUCAUACUAGCACUGUUGAUCCCUCUGUGCCACACUUUCUUAAUGUUGGUUCACAGGCAUAUAACCCAUUUUUGUCAACUGGUCCCUAUUCCAGUUCAUACAUACCCUAAUCUUCAUUUUUGUCAACUGGACCUUAUCACAGCUCAUACACAGCCACAACUUACCCAUUAGUGUCAAACCAUAGCUACCCACCUCAUCCAAUUUUUGGUGUUCAGUCACCCAAUGGUGCCUGGUUGCAAGCUACCUCACAACACACCCCAUAUGUUAAUUCCAAUACACACACAGUUCACAACACCAUGUUACAACAUACAAACCCCAACCCGUACCUACACCACCAAUACAGUUUUGACCCUUCCCUACCUUCCAUGAAACAGGUGAGACUAGAGUUUACAAGUUUCAAUGGGGGAGACCAUGUUGAGUGGUUAAAUAAGGCUGAACAGUUUUUCGAUUUCUACCAAAUCCCUGAGGACAGGAAGUUAGCUAUGGGAGUCAUGCACUUGACAGAAACAGCUUCGGAUAGGUGGUACAUGUUUGGACGUGAAUUUCCUCAGAGUUGGCAAGGACUUACUGAUUUGUUAAUGAGAGAGUUUGGGGGAUACAAUGUCACUGAUCAUCAAGCUGCUUUGGGGAGAAUGUCACAAACUGGGAGUGUAAAGGAUUACAUGGGACAAUUUACUAAGCUGUCAAGGAGGGCUCCAGGGUUUCCACAACAGGUGCUCAUGUCCUUUUUUAUUGGGGGUUUGAAAAGUGGAAUUAGAGCAGAUGUUAAAGCUCUCAAACCAAAAUCUCUCUAUGAAGCAUGUGAAUUGGCAAAAAUCUUUGAAGAGAAGGAGCUGAAUAUUAGGGCUGCACAAAAAUCAAGUCAGUUCAAUAGAGGGAAUGCCAAUUAUGCCAGCAACUACAACAAGCACUCCACAACAAAUUUUGGGGUACAAGCUAAACCUCAAACCCUUUCAAGUUCACAUGGAGGGCAAGGUAUAGCAAUGCAGUUGCACUAAAGCAAAAUGGGAACAGAAGAUUGAGUCAAGCAGAAUUUCAGGAGAGAAGGGCUAGGAAUCAAUGUUUUUUCUGUAAUGAAAUUUUCCGACCAGGUCAUAAUUGUAAAAAAGGGCAAGGCCAACUGAUGGUCAUUGAAGUUUUGCAAGAUGAAGGAGAGGCACUAGAGACAACUCAAGAAGUGAAUGAUGACAGUGUGACUGAAAGAGUGGAUGAAGAUACCUCUGAGGUACAACUUCAGAUCUUAGGGGGUUUGGAUGAUUCAGAUACUAUGCAAGUAAAAGGAGGGUUCAAUAACAAGAGAGUUCAUAUCCUCAUUGACACGGGAGCAUCCCAUAACUUCAUCCACCCUCCCUUGCUGAAAAAAUGCAAGUCCAAAAUUAGGAAAAUUAAGCCCUUGAAGGUCAUAUUAGCCAGUGGAGCCAUCAUGCAGACUAGAGGGCAGGUGACAAUUGAAUUACAGUUAGGGAAGUAUGUAUUUUCAGGAGAAUUCUAUGUCCUACCAGUUUCAGGCUGCGAAGUGGUGCUAGGAUCAGCUUGGUUGAAAACUCUAGGAGACAUAACCUGAAAUUUUGAAACUAUGGUGAUGAAAUUCAUCAGAGAAGGGGUGACGUAUAUGUUGCAGGGUGAAACAAAGGCUCAAGCCAUUGUAGUGGGGUGUAAAACUAUGCAAAGACUUUUAAGAAAGGAGACAGAAGCAGUCAUGGUAUAGUUGAGUCCUCUGGGAUUGAAAGAGGAAGUUAAGAAGACACAUCCAGCUAUUCAAAAGUUGAUUGAUCAGUACGCAACCAUUUUUCAAUCUCCUACUUCACUUCCCCCAAAAAGAACACAUGAUCACAGGAUAGAGUUGCUCCCUAACACAGCACCCAUUAAUGUCAGACCCUACAAGUAUCCUUACUUUCAGAAAGCGGAAAUUGAAAGAAUUGUGCAGGAAAUGCUCGACAAUGGUAUAAUUAGACCCAGUGUGUCACCAUAUUCCUCUCCUGUGAUUUUAGUGAAGAAAAAAGAUGGAAGCUGGAGGUUAUGUAUUGAUUACAGAUCAGUGAAUGCAGCUACGGUCAAGGAUAAAUAUCCAAUUCCAGUUGUUGAUGAGUUAAUAGAUGAGGUUCAUGGUUCAACUAUAUUCACUAAAUUGGACCUGAGAUCAGGUUAUCACCAAAUCAGGAUGUUUGAGGAAGAUAUCAAAAAGAUAGCAUUUAGAACUCACUCUGGACAUUAUGAGUUUCUGGUUAUGCCAUUUGGGUUAACUAAUGCUCCUUCUACUUUUCAAUCUGUCAUGAAUGACAUUUUGAGGGACCUCUUGAGAAGGGGUGUACUUGUGUUUUUUGAUGAUAUUCUGAUUUACAGUGUGUCUUUGGAGGAACAUUUACAACAGCUGCAACUGGUUUUUGAAAGGUUACAGUCUCAUUCUCUGAAAGUUAAGGAAAGCAAAUGCAGCUUUGGUGUGAGUCAAGUGGAGUAUUUGGGACAUAUUAUCAGCUCCAAAGGAGUAGCAGUGGACCCUGCCAAGAUUGAGUGCAUUAAGAAGUGGGGAAAACCUGCUACCUUGAAAGGAUUGAGGGGGUUUUUGGGACUUGCAGGUUACUAUAGGAAGUAUGUCAGAAACUUUGGCACAAUUGCCAAACCCCUAACUGACAUGCUCAAGAAAGAUAAUUUUAAGUGGACUGUUGAGUCUGAGAUAGCAUUUGAAGCACUAAAAGAAGCUCUAGUAUCUACUCCUGUGUUGGCCAUUCUAGACUUUGAGAAGGAAUUUACCAUAGAGUGUGAUGCAUCUGACAAGGGAAUUGGAGCAGUGUUGUCUCAGGAGGGACAUCUUAUUGCUUAUCUGAGUAAGGCAUUGGCACCAAGGCACACCACUCUCUCCGUUUAUGAUAAAGAGAUGAUGGCAGUAGUUUUUGCUGUUCAACAUUGGCGCCCAUAUCUUUUGUGGAGGCAUUUUCAGAUCUAUACUGAUCAUAGGACCAUUGAGCAUUUUACGAAGCAGAAGAUCAACACCCCAGCUCAACAAAAAUGGUUGAUCAAGUUAAUGGGAUAUGACUAUUCUAUUAAGUAUAGAGCUGGAAAAAAUAAUGCAGCACCAGAUGCCCUUUCAAGGCAGCUAGAGCUUUCUACCCUUCUUGGUACCUCUCAGCCAAUCCAUAAAUAUGUGGAGGACAUGCUUAGUGAUUGUUUGCAGGAUACUGAAGCAAAGGCAAAAAUUCAAGAAUUCCAGCAGGAUCCAGCUUCACAACAGCAUUACUCUCUAGUGGGGUCACAGUUGUACUAUAGAGGGAGGAUUUAUGUUCCACAACUGGGAGAUUGGAGAGAUAAGAUUAUGAAAGAGUUUCAUAGAGGCUUGGUAGGAGGGCAUGCAGGGAGAACAAGAACUUAUCAUAGAAUCAAGAGAACCUUUGGUUGGCCUGGAAUGCUUAAAGAUAUCAAACACUUCAUUGCUCAGUGUCACAUAUGUCAACUUUAUCACUAUGAAACAGUUGCACCACUAGGUCUGUUACAACCAAACUCUAUACCUGAUUCUGCUUGGACAAAUAUAUCUAUGGAUUUCAUAGAUGGAUUGCCAAAUUCAGAAGGAAAUACUGUGAUUUGGGUAGUGAUUGAUAGGUUGACUAAGUAUGCACACUUUAUUCCCAUGUCACACCCAUAUACAGCUGCAUCAGUGGCUCAGUUGUUUGUGAAGGAGAUUUUCAGACUUCAUGGUAUGCCUGAACACAUCAUUUCAGAUAGGGAUCCAGUGUUUCUCAAUCUAUUCUGGGAAUCCUUCUUCAAGUUACAAGGAACCAAAUUGGAUAAAUCAUCUGCUUAUCACCCACAAACAGAUGGACAAACAGAAAAUCUGAACAGGACCUUAGAGCAGUACUUAAGGUGCACUGUUGGAGAAAAACCACAUCAGUGGGUGUAGGCUUUGGCAUGGGCUGAGUGGUGGUAUAACACUGCUUAUCAUUCUGCAAUUCAGAUGAGCCCUUUUCAAGCUCUCUAUGGCUAUCAACCACCAUCAGUUGUUCCUUAUUUACCAGGGUCCACAGCAGUAGAGAAGGUGGAUAAACAGCUGGGAAACAGAGACGAGUUGCUGGCAUUGCUGAAAAGAAAUCUCACUGUAGCUCAAGCAAGAAUGAAAGUUUUCUAUGAUAAGAAACACUCUGAAAGGGAGUUUGCAGUAGAUGAUUGGGUAUAUCUGAAACUUCAGCAUUAUAAACAGUAGUCAGUUAAGCAGCAGGGGUGGAACAAACUCUCUCCAAGGUAUGUUGGACCUUUUCAGAUCAGUGAAAGAAUUGGGAAGGUAGCCUACAGGUUGAAUUUACCACCUACUGCAAAAAUUCAUAAUGUCUUUCAUGUGAGUUUACUGAAGAGAAAAGUAGGUGAGGGAGUGCACACAUCACCUCAGUUACCACCAGUGAUUGAUCCUGACAACCCCAAAUGGGAACCAAUAGCUGUGUUGGACAGAAGAAUGUUUAAGAAGAAAGGAGCAGCAGGUACUCAGUGACUGAUCCACUGGUUUGGUACCACAAUUGAUGAAGCAACUUGGGAGGACUCUGAGGUAAUUAAGCUGCGGUUUCCAAAUUUUGAGCAAGAAGAUGUUUCUGGUUUUGCUGCUGCUUCAACAGUUCAAACUUGAGGACAAGUUUGAUUGAAGGGGGCUGGAUUGUUACAGCUACAACUUCUCUUUGCUUUGUUUUUAGUCUUAUCUCAUAUAGGUUGAACGCAGCGUUUUGAUGGUUAUUGUAAGGACCAGUGUCAGUUUGACAUGUGUCCCACAUGACAACGUCCAAGCUAUUUAGCCGGACUUUGCUGUAAGAAGGAGGCAGACAAUUAAUCAAGCUUUUAAUAUUUUCAGUUUAUUUUCUUUGUUUUUCUUCCUUCAUUUUCGUUCCUUCCAAUCUGAAUCUGGAGAGUUAGGGCUCACACCCUAACAUUUAGACAAUAGCAUGGCAAAUAAGUUCCCUGAUGUAAUUAUCUCGUUAGUUACAAUGCCGGCUGUCGCCUUAAGUUUGUACUCUCCAAGAAACUUAGCAUAAAAUGCUUGUAUUCUUACUGCUGAACAAGACUACGACCAAGCUCUGAUUUUGGCGAUGGUUAAUAAUAAUUAAGAUUAAGAUUAUGAACUUCAUCUAGUUGUCCCAUAUGCCUAUUGCCUAACAGGCUUUUUAAUGUCUACAUGCAUGUAUACAAACAGUCAUGCAAGAAGCAAAACACUUCAGAUGAAAAACUUGAUAGAAAAGCACUUUGCAGAUAUGGGAGUACAACUACGGCUACAGAGGCGAAAACGUUUAAGUGACACAAUUUUAUGUCUUCAAAUAGGGGAUCUAAUGAUCAUGCCUUUAGAACAGUAUCAAUUAUAAGCGGAGCACAAAAAUACUAGGAAUCGUCAUUGCUACUCUCAUAACAUAACAAAUUAGAGGAAACAUGUCAACAUGAGCUGAUGAGCAUAUGGUAUGCACAUUAGAAACUAAAGUAAUACACAGAAGUGCCUGCAGAUUAUAGAAUAUUUAUGACAUUCAAGCCCACCUCCCUCAAGGAGCACAACAAUCCAGUGGUUAAGCCUCGUCCAUUUGCUCCUGCAAGAAACCCCAGAUAGUUAUAACCAUGAAAGGCUUCACUAGCAGAAACAAAAACCUAGCAACUACACUGAGAUAACUGAAACCCCAAGCUGAAGAGCCCCACAUGCAUGCAAGUGAAUCAAAGAGCAUCAUGACUAAAUUUGGAUUCCAUCUUCUGAAACCAAGAACAUGUUGUUUGACAUGCAAUGAUUUUGAUAAGCCUAUUAUUGAUUUGUACCCCCUAGGAUCUAUAAACUUUUUGGAUCUUCUUAAACCUUUUUUCAUCAAACUGGAUAUCAAAACAUAGGCUUGAUUUGAGGUUUGAAGACACUUAAGCUAUUCAGAUGAUCAUCAGCUUACUAUAGUACUAAUAACUUUUCUUUAAUUAUUGCCAUAAAAGGGCUCAAGUGCUAUUGAUAUUUACGUUCGUAAUGGCCAUAGAACAAUAAAGUAAUUUGGCAUCCCCAUCUAAGAAAACUGCAUAAAAAUCACUUAAGUUCCAGCUACUAGUAGCACUGACCUGCAAAUCUGAAGUCCAAAGAGUGAGGUUGUCCCUCAGAAGUUGCAUGAUUAAAGUGCUGUCCUUGUAUGAUUCCUCUCCCAGCGUAUCCAGUGCAGCAAUUGCUUCUUCAAAGGCCUGCGUUAAUGAAAAGUUACUUAUAGAUUUCAUGUAAAGUUAUCAAAGUUCAGAAAAUUAACUAGAGAACAGACGCGUUAGGAUUAGUUCUUGGUCUUGACCAUUAAAUCUCUUUGACCCUUCCAGGCGUUACAUAAUAGAACUAGUGGUAAAAAGAAAAAACAAUACAGAAGCACCUGCAGAAAGUGUACAAAACCUAUAGAAACAAUCUACUUCAGCUAGACACAAGAACACAGCAACAACAUAACUAUAUAAGACAGAACAAGCAACUUUCAAUCUUGCCUCCUUUAAACCUUCUCCAAUCGCACCUCUUUAGCAAUAUCAAGGCCUUCAUCAGUACUCCCUCAACUGCUAAGCAUUUAAGCAACUUUCAAGCAACCCCUUACUAAUGAGUAUCAUUGUCCUAAUAAUUCUAGUUGGAUCACUCCAACAUCUGACUCAAACUUGUGUUGCUUAUGUUGCUCUUGAGCAGGGGCGGAGCUAGAAAUGUAAGUCUAGGGGGGCCGAGAUAUAAAAUAUGAAAAAAAAGUAUAUAAAAUUUUAAAUUGUCUGUUAAAAUUAUGUGUUAAUUAAAAUUGAACUUAUUGUUUUUGUUAAUGUAUAGUUUUAUUUAUGUACAUGUAAAUGAUUAUAUAUUAAAAGUUUACAUGUAUAUAAAAUGAUUAAUUAAUAACUAAUCGAUUAUGGUGAUGAAUAUGACAAGAUGCAAAGAGAAAGGAAAUUAUAUAGUCUAAAAUAUCAAACUAAUCAUUAUUACGUGACAUAUUAUUACAUGAAAAAUGGGCCAGAUCAUUACAAUUAUAUAUAAUUGUAACCAUUUGAUCCUACAAUAGUGGUGGAAAUUGACCAUCUUCACAAGGUUUGGGGGGUGCCAUGGCACCCCUUGGUCUUAGUGUGGCUCCGCCAGUACUCUUGAGCCUGGUUCUGUUUCCUAGCCUAUAUAUGUUUCCUUAAUUUGACAGAUUAGAUGAACAAAUAAAAUAUGUUGAUAAUCUUUCUUUGCAGCUUGCUGUAUUAUGGAUUCAACAUGGACAACAAGUUUUGAAUUUGAAAUUGUGAGUUUGUAGGUGUGGAUCAGUCGAUGAUCGCUGGCAAUUUGCUGCUCUUUUAGUAAUAUUGACGAGUAAUUCUUAGGACAUCCAUAUGACCGACCACUCACAAACCAACACCUGUAACUUUUUUAUUCACCUAAAACAAAAAAAGGAAAGAAAAGAAAUCGGGGUUCUAUCUCUCCGAUUAUACCAAGUCAGACCUCUCCUUUUGCCUUGCCCCGCAUUCGGCCCAGUUUUGUAUUGAGUUUUGAGAAUUAAAAUAACUUAUAAUCAUCAUUUUGAAUAGAUUUUUUGUUUGGUAAAAUCUUAAAAUCUACUUAUCUAACAUUUUUUAAUUUAAAUAAUCACGAUUUAAAAAGGCAGGUUGCGAGUUACGUAUUUAAAAUUGAGUUUAAAAAAAAAAGAGUUUUUAAACCACAAUACCAAUAUCAAGCUAAGCCUUCAAAUAUGUCACCAUCAAACUUUCCUUCCUUUUUUUUGUUUCUUUUGUUUUUUUUUUUUUUGUUUUUGAGAAAGAUCAAACUUCCCAUAUUGUUUUCAAAGUAAAUCAAAUGAAAUAACUAUACUAUAGUGAAUACGUAACGCAACCACAUGUUUGGCUCUGAUUGGUGGCCCUUAGAUAAUAUAGUUUCCUUCGUUUGUAAUGCACUUGGUAAUUGGAUAACGCCACGUCAAACAACGUGUCCAAGCCAACAGCCUAGUGGAUCUUGACGCUUCACCCGCACCGGAAUAUUCCCCAACCCACCCACCAAAACCCACCUCACCCUUUCCCGAAAAGUAUAAAUACUUCUCUUUCUUCCCCAUUUGCGGUCGUUGCCCUAGAAAACCCCUAUAUCGCCUCCACUCCGCCGCAACCUGAUUUUCUCAGCUCAAACCACUCUUCUUCUCCCACUCUUUCUCUCGUCAAAUCGUCCAAUCCGAGCUGAUCUCCGAUCCGAAAUUCUCUCUGAUGCUCCUCCUGUUGAGUUCUUGUUUGACUUCUCCGGCCAAGAUUUCGACUGCAAGCCGAUUUUGCCCUGUUAUUGUAAUUUUAGUAGCUUUUUGAUGGAUUAGGUGUUCCGGUGAUGGACUCGGUUGAAUUGACUUACCACAUGGAGAGGCGGCUUGUCAGAGCUGGAGUUGAGCUGGAGACGGAGUUCUGCAGCUCAUCUCUGAGCUAUAAAGGUGAUUUCUCCGGCAUCUGAUUUUGAUUUUUGAUUUCCUUAUGUUUUUAUUGAUCGUUAUGAUUGAGCAAAUUAGACUCGUUUGUCAAUGAUUUGAUAGGUUAACUUUGGUUUGAUCAUUUCUGAAUCAUGUAUGUGAUUUUUCCGAACAUAUCGUUGUUUUUAUUGCUAGGAAUAUGUAUUUUAUAUAGUUAAGAAGCAAAAAAGGGAAAGGAAAUGAAUUAUUGCUUAGUAAAACUUUCAAUUCAAGCAUCUGCGUUUGAUUUACCUGGUUAUAUUAGUUAAUGAUCUAUGCACAAUAUAUUUACCUUUUUCGCCGGAUUGUUAACUGUAUUUUGUUAUUUGGUGUUUAACUGACUUUCUUUAUAAGUUGCUUGUGCGUUUUUCAUUGUGUUCACUCGAAAUUUGGUUUGGUGCACUGAGAAAUUUAGCUGUGUUCGCAGACGUAACAAACGGUUCUUCAAAAUCUGAACCAUCUAAGCUUGAUGGUCAGCACCGCAGCAACUAUCAGGGUGAAGACUCGUCCAGGCACCUACAUGCCAAGGGCAGAAAUGGAUUUUUGUUAAAUCAUGGAAUUGAAAGUGGUCACUUACAACGGAAAUCAGUAAAGGUGUCAAAAACGGGAAAUUUGCCUUCUAAGAGACCACGGAUCACUCAGUUGGAAGAUUCAGUUAGCCUAGCUGAAGUUGAUGGGAUAAAGGACAUGCCAGAUAAGCUGGGUCCAUAUCUUACAAAGUGCAAUUCUGCAGGUAAUAAAAUGUUUACUAUUGUCAUUUUGAAUUAUACAUGUGUUGUAAAUGUGUGUUUGUCAUCAUCGAGGCUAAAUAAGUUUAUAUGCUGAAUAAAAAGACUUUCAAGAUGCUUGAUGCCAUCUGUGGUCUCUUCACGUAUGUCAUCACCUGCAAGAAUGUGGAAGUAUGUUUGAAAGUUUUUUUCUGCUGUUGUUUAACGGGUGUAUAUAACAUCAUCACUCGAAACUUUUAUAUCUACAGUUCUUAUGGGGAAAGUUAAAAGUUAUCCUACAGCUCAUGCCUCCUUUUUUAACAUCAUUGCAAUUGAUUGGGUUUCAACAACUUAUUGAAGCACAGAUGAUAUGGAACCCAGAACUUUAACAUUGAACAGUAGCUAAAGAAUUACAACACGAUGACAAUUCUAACUCACAUUGAUGCUGUACAAACCCAAAAUAGGAAACCCCACAGUGCAAUAUGUACCCAGAUACUUGAGUACAACUGUCUCACCCUUGUUUAUGCACUAGAUUCGAUUGCAAAGAAUUACUUUAAGUAGUAGGAUUGGGUUCAGCACCUACUUUAAGAUUCAUUGAUCUAUCAGCCUACAAUGUUUUGUGCUCAGCAGCCCUCAGAGGGGAGUCUUACUGCAACUAUGUAUAUGUAUAUGUAUAUAUUUGUUAACACCCAUAAAGUCUCUGGGUUAGAAUUACAACCCUGCCCCGCCCCACUGUCACAUGUAAUUGUCUUUGUGAAUAUGAUGGUCUCAUCAUUAGCUAAUAUACACAAUGUUUAUGUAGUUAUGAUGCAUUUUAGGAAUACUAGUUGGUAAACUUCCAAAGGUUUUGUUUAAUUUAACGCCUAUUAAGAUCUGACCUGGAACAUUUUCAAUUCACUGAACCUGUGCAGCGAAAUUUUGGUAGAUAAUCAAACCAAUAGGAAUUUCAAACUUUUAGGGUCUGAAAUUUUUAUGUUAACAUUUUCAAGCAGUUUUAAAGAUAUUAUGGAAGUACAUCUUCUAGGUCUAUAUUCAUUUUUCGGGUGCAAUUGUUAGUCUUCGACUCUUGAUCCAAUUUAUCUUUUAAGCUUCAUUGUGCUAGUAUUAAAGUAACAUAUUCUUUAACAAGACCAAAAAGAAAAUGACCUUCUGCCUAGUUUCUUCAACAUUUUGUAGUGAUAGUUUCUAUGUGCCCAUUUAUCAUUGAGGAUCUAUUUCUUCAUGCUAUGCUAUAGUAAGUGAAGUGUUUCUUGGGUUAGGUGUUUGGUACAUUAAAAAGACCAGAUUGAAGUGUGCCCUUCAGAAUUUAUGUUCUGAUUUGCUAAAACAAUAAUUUUGAUACUUAACCACAUUAUUGUCCCUUUUAAAAGCCAGGGUAGAUACGCUGGAUUUUUCUUUGAUGACCUUUGAAGAGUUUGUGCUAAGAUACCUCUUUUUUCAACUUCUGUAUCAUACACUACUCCAGAUAAGACUCAAUUGGCGAAACAAAAGACCAAAUUUACAAGCAAGCGAGGUGAUAAGAGAAAUCACAAACAUCCUGUAAAGACUAAAAACGAUUCCUUCUCUGUGAAGGCAGGUUUGGCAAGCUUCAGUUCGGCUUCUGGAGGGAACAACUUCUUUGGUAUGCCAUCUCAAAAUGAUAAAUUCUAUUUCUAGAUGUAGACUUUACUUUAUCAAAUGGAGUACAUUCAUCAAUUAUUCUAAGUUCCUCAUUGAAAUGGAUGGCAGGAGCACAUGGCCUUAAGUCAGAUAAUCAUGAUGUUACAAAGCAUGUAGACGAUCUGCCACUGAGUGAGCUCCUUGAUGGCACAUACAAACAUCUCAGUUUUGGUAAGGAUAAAGGAAAAAAACCAGCGAAUGUUAACGAUAGUUUUUUGCAUUCGAUUAGAAAGGCUUGCUCUAUCCUUCAGCACCCGAGGUCUGUCCAGCCCCAACAUAAUGCUGAAGUAGAUAGCCAUUCCGAAAUGAAAAUGUCAUCUUUGCCAUUAAGCACAACUGCUGUUGUAGCUAACGGUAUUCAUGGUGAUAAAGGAGAUUCAUCCAAAACAGAUCUGUCUUCAUCUGACAAGGUUAGUGGUCAGUGCAUAUCUAAAAAUAUUUGUUACCCUGAAGAAAAUUGAUUGUACUAUAGAUUGUUGAUUUGAUAAUUUAGAAUAUUAAUGGCUUACAUGGAUGAUGUAAAAUUAAUUCACCAUGGGCGUCUUUUUGUAAUAGUUAUUGGGAUGGAUCUUCUCAAUCCAGGUAUAGGUCUUCUUGCCUGACUGAAGUGUGGGCGCCUGUGAGAAUGCUUGCACUUUUAGUUGAGACUUCUAGGCUCUAGUGACAGGAUUUUAGAUCAGUAUCCAUCUAAGACCCUAAUGCUAGUCUUCAACUGCAAGUUUACUAAUAAUUGAUGAUGUACUUUCUCUUUCCUUUUAUGUAGGUACAUGAUUCUUGUAGCGGGCCUGAUAGUCCUGCUAAUCCCUUUGAUAUGCCACUAAGGCAACCCAAUCAUAUUCUGGAACGCUUGGAUCUUGCUCCUCACAAGGAUUUGGAAUCUUUGCUGCUGGAUGCCACAAAACCUGGGUUAUUUUCAAAAAGUACUCCUGAUCCGUGCUCAGGCAAGCAAAUGUCUCGGCGAGCAAGUUUGCCACCUUUCCCAUGGUCAAAUACUUCUAAUUGGCAUUGUAGAAGCAGUUCAGAUGCAGGAAAAUUGUCAACAAGCAGGGGCACAUGUCAAGGUCGAUGGCUAAGAAUAGAGAGGAAUACUGUUACUUCAUUGGGAAUUUCCACUAGUGAUUUUACAGACUUGGAGUCAAUGACUUAUGAUCAGAGUCUAGUUCCUUCUUCAAGACCAAAAAUUACUUGUUCAAGUGAUAUAGUUUCCCCAACCAUAUCUGUUUUACCUCAGUGUGAGUUGGAUUCAUCGGCUUCUGCAGCAUGUUUGAAGGAAUCAUAUACUGCUUUAGGUAUUAUCAUUAUUAAUGAUUUCAUGAUUUUGAUUGAAAUACUAGGCCAUGAGUUUUUUUAUUAUAUAUUAUUUUCCUGUAAGCAUCAUUCUGAGACGUAUAGUUUUUUUUUGUUUUUUUAAUUUUUUUAUAAUUAAUUUGUUUGGUAAUGCAGACUUGGGAGGGAAGGUGAAGCAGUCAGGAAAUAGUAAUGGUAAAUUUUCUACCUGUUAGUAGCCUCUUUCUUUAUUUUAAUUUUUGGUGUGUAUGUAUGCACAUGUUUUGGGAUGCUUUGGGUGGUGGGUGAUGUAAUUCCAUACCAGUCAAUGUAGGCCUACUAUGGUUUAAACCAAGUCUCAGGGACAGAUUUUUAUAAGUAGAUUUGUAAUCAAUCUGAUCAGGGUUGAACCAGAUGACUAAGAAUCAUAUGGAAUAGCAAAAGAUGUGAUGGGAUAUGAUUAAAUGGAUGUAGUUAGGAAAUAGGAACUGCUUGUCAACUCUAUUAAUUUUACACUUGCAUGAUGAUUUCACAUCUUUUAAUAAGAUGCACCUGAGUUCAAUUUGAUUGUCCACCUGUGCUAUUUCACUUUUCUGAACGAGGUAUUUUUGCUUGUGACAGAUGAGCAUUCUUCAAAUAUAUUAGCUGCUGCACAAAUACUCUGUGGCAUGUCAACAAAUCCCUUCAAUCGAAAUCCAGAUGGAAUCCUACGAUGGCAAAAGAAGCCUUCACAGAAGGCCAUGAAAGCUCGCAAGUUGAAAUCAGUUGAGAAACCUGAUGAUGUAUAUGGAUCAUCAAUUGCAGUAUCUGGGUCUGACAAUCUCCCAAGAAGAAGCAUUGACCGAAUGCUGAUGCUGCCCCCAAAGAGGCCCAAGCUCUCUUCAAGUGAUGAUAGAAAGGAUUACAAUAACUUCAGUAGCGUUAGAAAAGAACCAAUAAGCUGGUCAACACCAAGAUCAAGUAGGUCAUUACCUAGCAAAUCUGGUAAAGAGUCAAUUGGGAGCAUUAGACAUUCGACUUCUGAUGUGGCGAAGCAUUCAUAUAUGAUGCCUCCACCUUCAAGGGUUCCGGAGAAGGCUCCCUAUAAGCGAGACAAGUCAAGGAAGUUAUUGACGAUGGAAUGGAACAGGGGAAGAGAUCGGCCAGACUGAUGAAUCUUUCAUUCUCUAGUGGGUAGGGUUUGCAUUGAUUCUGAAAUUCGGGUUAUUGGGAUACAUUGAUUUGUAUAUAUCACCAUGUGCUGCAGGCAGAAAGGAAUGUGGCAAAUGGUUAGGCACUUAGGCAGAAUGAAAUUGUUGUAAGAAAAGUAUGAAUAGGAAAUCUUAUGUUGUAAGAAAGCAUAGAACACAGUAGUGGUGAAUUCUUCGCCAUGAAGAUCAUUCAAAUUUCAAAGUCUGUUUCGACAGGUCCCAAUCUUCCGUGAUCUGUGAAAGUUUCUGGUUGAAAACUGGUAUGUUCAUUUCUGAGAUAAAGAGCUCUGGUUAGAGAACACGGUCAAACUAGCAUCAUUCUCAUUUUCGGUAUCUUAUCAUUCUCAUUUUCGGUAUCUUAUUCUCUGCAACAGCUAAAGCGAUAGGAGUCAAUUUUGUGUUGCAGCUUUGUCAUCCUUGAUUAAUUUUGACCAGGUCUAUCAAGGCAGGAUACAGUCCUAAAUCUGGAUUUUAAACUAAUCCCUUCCUACUCCGGUAAAGAGAUUUCUCGUAUACUAAUUUUUUAACUUUUUUUUAAGGGUUUGAAACCCAGCCUAGCUCAGAGGCUCAGCCCCACGCCCGGAUUUUAUUUUAAUUAAAAACAAGAAAAAUUACAUAGUUCGAAUAAGAAACAAUACAAGAUGGAAAUUAAGAAAAGAGAAUAGGGUAUUCCCAUCUCUUGUACAAACCAAAACGAAAGCUGAAAGAUAAAACAUAUAAGUAGUCCACCUAUAAUUUAGAGCAUCAAAGCAGCUAUGAACACCAAUCUUGGAUGCAAUCUCCUACUAAAGACAAUAAGAGACCGCCAAACACCAGACCACUGUAAGGUGUGUCAUCUAAUUAGCUCGAUAAUUUGGAUACCCUAAUGCAUCCCUUAAAAGGAAAAGAGAUACCCUAAUUCUCGUAUAAAAAGAUAAAUUGUUUUGAUCAUACUUACGACGUAUUUCUAUGGGGUCAGUAAGUCCUUACAGUACAAAUUAGAUACAGUAAUAUUCAUUCCUUACAAUACUGUAUGUUCUUCAAGAGAAUAUAAAAAUUAUAUGUAGAAAAAAUCUGAUAAAUCAAAACAUCUGAUCUAAUAAUAGCACAAGCGCCAUUGCAAAUCCAGGAUGAAAUCCAGGAUGCACAACCAAAUGGAAAACAUCCACCCCAUAAGAAACUCCUCCAACAUUUGCUUCCUUCCUCUUGAUCUCAGCCACCACAUUCCUCGAGAACUCCUCCAAUACCUUACAUGAUCGAUGCGUGUAAGAACCUUCAAUCACAUAGGCACAUCUUCUAUGACUACCAGAUACUUCACGAUAUACAUGAGCAAUUAUACUGGGAUAUUUAGCAUUCAACAAGUUCUGGUUCUUCUUCACACAAAACACUGGCCAGCUUUUUGCUGCUGCUCUAAUUGUUCUUUCUGUGCAGCAGAAGUCUCCCACUUCACCUUCGUACACAAACCAGCUCUCCACCAGGCUAAACUUCUGCCAAUCAAACAUGAGAAUAAUAUUCAAGAUCAAACCCUAUUAUAUUGCUUCUAUUCAAGAUGUACGAGCAAAUUAAAGGUUGCUCUCGAUUAUUGAUAGUUUGAUAACAUAAAAUAAUAAAUCGUAUAAUAUAUAAAACUUUAUACGUAUCAAGAGAUUAUUUUGUGAUAUGCACCAGGUUUACCUUGUUACGACGCAUUGUAAGGACGGAUUUCCCAGAGCCAUCCAUGAGAGUAACUUCUCGAGGAUGUCCGACAUAGUUGUCGACCCGAUAAACCAGAUCUCCAUUAGAAUCGAUAACUGUGAACCCUUUACAGCUGAUCACAAGAGAUUUUCUCCACACUGUAAACGAUAUCGAUGUGCAAGCCCCACUAGGGCCACUGAUAUCAAUACCGGUCUUUGAUUCCUGUUGAUCAUGAUCGUGAUCAUUGUGUUCUUCAUGAACCGACCUUGACAAAGAUCUGAAGAAAGGAACAAUCUUCAUCCUCUCUCUCUCUCUCUCUGUGAAUUGUAAACCUUAAGAAGGUUAGGGGAGAAGAUAUUUAUAGCCAGAGAAAGUGUUUUGGUUGGUCUUUCCAAUAUUUUUGAAAAGUUCUCUCUUUUGUUCACGGACGCACUUCAAUAAUACCAGCUAUACAUUUAUCCACACACAUAACUAAUCACGUAAUUAUAUAUGAUAUAUACCCGUAGCUGUACGUGAAUGUGGAUACAGAAAGAAAUAAGCAUUUGUACCAUUGUACUUGUACAUUAUAUUGCAUACGUAUGCGAGCGAAUCGUAUAUAACUAUAUACAUCUACAUUAUUGCAUGAAACUACAAACUUUUCUUGUAUAAUUGGUCGUCAUAGGGAGGACACAAGUAGCUCUCAAUGAGUGAGGAGCUGGUUUUCCAUUUUAUAUUCUGAAUGAGAGAGACAACCUUGCCAGAAAAGUCAUUGCUGGUUUCCUAGAGACACACUUUGAUGGGAUUAUUCAUAUGAAUCAAGUAAUUGUGUAGUUUAUGAAGAUCUUGCAUAAUAUAUGUCGAUUUAUUUGUAUAUUUAACUGAGAAUUCAUGUGUAAUUUAGCGAUGAAAAGGGGACACGUACUGUGUGUUGGCAUAGAUGGGGGUCUUUGAGUUUCCAAAUUUGCUCUUCUUUUCAUUGUGUUGUCAACCUGUGAGUUAGGCUUGUGUUUGUUUAAGAGGAUCGAGAUUCAUGAGCACGAGACAAAAAGGGGAACAUAGAAAAUAUGGAGGGAGGGUGAAAUCCAAGAAACUUGCUCAAGUUAUUUCCGUCACCAUUCACAUAUUUAACCCUAGCUAUUUUACUCUAGUGAUUGUUUCACUCAGCACAACUAGUGGCUUUGAUCGAGACAUCAAGUCUUUAUGCAUAUUUUGUCAUUGGACAGUAACAAAGUAGAAAUAGUGAUUGUUGUUUCGUAGUUUGGAUACUAAUGCCUCUGCCUUGUUCGGAAAUUUCCCCAAAAAUGUGGAUUACUGCGCAUAAUCUAAAAUUAUUAUCAAGGCUUGGAUUUGAUUCUGGUGAUCACUGAGUGAGCAGUAAGAUAGGAUGGUACGUUGAUGUGAAUGUAUACUCUGUAGCUUCAUCAUCAGUCAUAUCAUAGUUAAACACGUACGUACGUCUUCUUAAUUAAUUACUUCGUAUAGAUGAUAACUCUAGAAAGAGUCGGAGUACUUGGUCUUAAUUAAUCAGUCUUUCAGUUAUAGAAGAUGCUUAGUGACAAAAGGGGAGGACGUAGUUGACAUCAAUGCUACUAUAUAUGUCUCCAACUAAUUGUUUGUGGGAGAUCGAUCUCCCGGCUGUUCUGAUCCUAUGCUUAGCAAAUUAAUUUAGCAGCCACCUCCGACUGUGCUUUGAAUCACCUUGAUCUCCAUCUUUUCCAUUCAAUAUUAUACUUCACUACUUUUCAAACUAUUCAUGCUAGCUUUCGGUUCAUUUUCAGUGUGACUAUAUAUAUCUACUAGGAUGCUAUAUAACCAUCUGCCAAGACAAAUAUGUGUGCGCGUUUGCAUAACCAACGAAAUGUUUACACGCCCAGAACUGGCAUAUUUGCUCUCUCUCUCUCUCNNNNNNNNNNNNNNNNNNNNGUACGUACGUACGUACGUACGUACUCUCUCUCUCUCUCUCUCUCUCUCUCUCUCUCUCUCUCUCUCUCUCUCUCUCUCUCUCUCUCUCUCUCAUGACCACUCCCACACAAUUUUUGACUAGUUCAGGGUCACUGAUAAGCAAUUAUCCCAAGCCAAGAAGAUGCCACAAAGAUUAUUGUGUCUUAACAAUUUUAUUUGAGAAACAUUGAUAAUAAGCAGGGUAUAGUCGAUCAGACUGUGAAUGAGAAAUAUUCACAGUUGGAUGCAUAUAUAGUUAUCCUCGUCUCAUAAGGAAACAAUAUCAUAAGAUUUCACAGCUCUAUAUAUAUUAUAUGUAUCACCCCAGAAGGAAACAGUUUCUGAGAUCAGACCGAAUAAAUGAUCAGGAUGAAGGUUACCUCCUCUCAAUCUUAGAAUAAUCGCUGCUGAUAGAAAGGGAAAAGCUGACAUCCAGGAGUUCAACACGUGUACUGGUUAGUUCAUAAGCUGGUUGAAAACUGGGCGACUGGGCAACCCAAAUGAUCUUUGACAGAAUCUCAGCUAGUCAACAAAGCAAAUCUCAAAUGAAAAUAAACUAUAGGAAUUUGCACUUUGUGUUUCAUAUAAAACAACCACGUUUCUCCUCCACCGAUCCACGUACCCUGAACUUUCUAGUAGGAGUAGAUCGAUUAGGAUUGUUUCAUUUGUUUGAUUUGUUUUCAUGCAUGGAAUAUAUGAUAGAUAGUCAAGAAAUGUGAUUCUUGUGGUAUGGCUUAGCUUUCUAAAAAUAGAUGUUAUUUAUUGAAGAAAAGUUGUAAAAGUUGUAUGUGCAGUUGUGCACAUCAUCAGAAUCUACAAAAGAUGAUAGAUCAAGGGCAUGUUUUUUGUCAAAAGUGUUUGCCACUUUUCUUUAGUUAACAAGAAGCUCGGUCAAAAAUAAGAUUGAGGUGAUGAACUGUUGUAUAGAACACUAAAAUGUUCAUAAUUUUAGAACUACAGAAUAGAUCAGAAUUGAGAUGAUUUUUGCUUUGAAUAUUUUUUACCAUGAUCUUUGUAAAGGACUGGGUCUCCAUUUGACUGAGUAGUGAAUCUCUUUUUUUUAUCAAGUAAACAACUUAAAUACUACAAUCUCCUACUAACAACUUAAAUACUACAACCUCCUACUUACUAAAGAGAUAUUAUGCUCUUAGAUCAAAUGGUACUAAACCCUGGAUUUAAGCGAAGAAUUCUAUUCAUGCAUUAUUCCGUCGGAAGCCAAAUAUUGAAAUAAAAUAUGGGGUUAAAAAUACCAAAGUUAAUUAGGAAUCUUAAUCCCGAGCUAAACUUGGAUCUAAUCUCUCUGGCAUUGGGCUUCUCUAAUGAAACUUCAAGUUGACCGAAGAAAAUGAUCUCAUGCCGAAGAAGGCCAAUGCUACUUUGAAUUGGAAACAGUAGGCCCAUCCUACCUCGCCUUUGAUACAAGAACCCGUGCCUAACUAAAUGUCAUUACGUGGUUGAUCAGACAAGGCUGGUGAGCUACUAGGCUGGUCAAAACCCAAUGUAGGUGUUUCAAUCGACUUGAUUUCAAGUACGUUUUUAUUUCUUAUUUAGGUCGAAUUUUCAUUAAUUUGGAUAAAAACACACGAACAUACAAAAGCCUAACCUUUCGACCAUAAACAAACUAACCAAAAAAAUUAGAAAAUAAUAUAUAACAAACGAUACGACUCGAACACAACACGGUUCUAAUUUAAAUGAAGAUACAAUAAACACUAUUAAACUUGUCCAUAAGAGGUAAUACAACCAAACAACUUGUCGAGAAGACAAUAGAUGAGGAUAAAUCUAGAUGCAAGAGGCAGAAUCACAGCCAAUCACCCCAAGCAGCUCCACAUCCGAAUCCAUUCCUAAAGUCUGAGGUCGAUCUUUAAAUCCUAGACUCUACCAACACGCCAUAUAUUAUAGACUCUAGUACGUUCUAACCGAACGUUAAAUGAAAAGGAAAAAUAAUAUCAAAUCGAUUGGUUCAGUUUUCUCUUUCUUUCCUGUGUCUGAUGUUCAAGGUCCCGACUCGUGCUUCUAGUCUUGCUUUCUUGUUUUGUUGUUGUUGUUCAUAGUGCUAGAAAGAAUAUGUAUAUAGAAACGUACGUAUUACACCCUAUAUAUUAAGCUAAGUUCGAUAUUGAUGGACUUGACAAAGAGACUCUUGAUUUCGUAAAGUCCUCAUAUACCUACUACUGAUUAUUAGAAACUAAAAACGAAGGCUUUCGAUCAAUUUCAGAUGAGGUAAUUUGUGGUCUCUCUGUAUUAAAGUCCGACAUCAACAAGUUUAAGUAAAUUUUUAAGCAUGGUCAAGAUGAUUGGCAUCUUAUAGUAUUGUUUAAGGAAUUACGUACAGAUCGAGCUAGCCCCGGUUACCAACCUCCCCAAGGGGAAAAGUUGCGACACACUGGAAACUGGUGAGACAAGGACUUGCUUGGUUGACGUGGAUCAUACUGGCAUGGUCAUUUUUCUAAGAAAUUGACAUAGCAGAUGGGAAAAAAUUUCAACCUAAAUGUUUCAUCUCUAGGUAAUCUAGGAGACUCAGAUAUGGCAUACAUCAAACAAGGUUUGGAAAGUGGGAGAAGAAGAAGAAGAAGAAGACUCACAUUACUUUUCUAGGUGGGAGAAGACUCUUUGUGCAGGAGAGCUAGACGGGCAAGAAAGCACUCUCUAAUUCAUUCUUCAUAGUCCGUAUAUUAACACUUGUACCAAACGAUGCAAUAUAUUAUCAUUGUCCUAGCUAAAUGAUUAAGAAUCACAGAUGACUAUGGUUGGCAGAGGGCACUUGAUAUAUUUUCUUCUUUAAAACUUGGAAGCUGUAUUAAGAAGAAGCUCAAAAUUGGAAAUUGUAUACUUUCAUGUGAGCCGUUGACGUCUAAGAUCAGUUGGACCAUGGAAAUAAUAUACUAACGCAAAACAAACUAAUUGCAUCCUGCUUUGGGCCAAGCAGUGGGCUUGUUUGAGAUUAUUUUUUAGAUUGCUGAUCUAUUUAGUAACGGAUUUAUAAACGUUAAAUACAUGUUGUACUUCAUAUUGAUGAUAUAUGAAUAUAUGAUCUGUUAAUAAUUAAUGAAAUUAUUUCUCAAAAUAACAGAUACAUACGAAUCGUGGUUCAAUGACAUAUUCGUCUAUAACGUACAUGCAUAAGGCCCCAACACUCCUGAGAGUAGUUUUUUUUUUUUUUUUAGUAGAGAAAAUUCUAUAUUAUAAAUAAACCAAUGUUACAACUAUGAGAUUUCGGUGGUGGACAUAAAGUCCUCACGCUCCUCUUUACCCAACACAAUGAUUACAGUGAACAAGAACAAAAAAUGUUUAACCGUAAUCUAACCUAUUCUAGAAGCAUCAGUUCAAAAUCAAUCUUUUCUAAAAAGAAUAACAAUAACAUUUACACGUACAACUUACUGCUAUAUAUGUUAAAACUUAAAACUAAGAAGUAGCCAAAAUGAAAAGGCCGAGAAAUGUAGGUCAUCUUAUAACAUAGAAAGAAUCUAAGACCAUCAAACGAAUCAAAGUCUUUUUUCAAAGUAAACUGCAGACAAGACAAAUGAGCCGUGAACAAUGAACAGAAAACUAAGCUCGUUUCACAAAUUAUUAGAGGCCGUUCCGGCCACUUAAAUUAUAAAAAGAUUCUCAUCGAAAUAUAUAAGAGUUGGGUUGGUGAGUAAUUGACUUCUGCAUACUUGCUUCUGGUUUAAGUAUCUGCGGGCUUUAUACGUAAAACAUGUUCUAGAAGCCCACCUAUUCACGAUCCCACUAAUCUUUUUUUGCAAAUAACUUCUACUUAAGUUUGUAUCACUCUCAUGCAUCACUCUCAAUUAGAGACUCAAAGUUUGAAACACACUGAUUGAAACCUGAAAGCACUCAAAGCUAGGUCUGAAACCUUCACGAUGACUUUGAAAAAUUAGUGAGUCCCUCACAUUAUGGAAAUCGAACAUUAUAGACGACUCGUAGAAAAAACUUAGUUUCUCUGUUUAUACUUGACAAGAACAAUAAUGCAUGGUCUUAUUAGAAUUCCUACCUGGCUUAUUCUAUCGUGGAAUGUCUUUUUGAAUGGAAUGAAAACCCACUAAUUCUCUCCCAUAGAGACAUACAUAGGCUUUGCUGUAAAGUCGACUAUGGAACUCGUGUGUCCACAUCCAGACAUCCUCAGCAAGACAGCAGCAACGACAAUCUUAUUGAUGAGUUCAGUGGCAUAUAUAUUCAACUAUGUAUAUUUCAUGUGUUACUGUGUGGCAGGUUUUGCCUGGCCUUUUGCGAGUUCGAUGCAACAUGUUUGUAUUUGGAGUCGUCAUGAUGGAUUGUUGGAGACUGCUAUAUUUUCUGUAUGUAGUUUUUCCUAGUAGUUAUUGCUAAGGAUCAGAGCUGAUCAUAUUAUUUUGGUUUGUUCUGGAGUGAUCUUUCUGUGUAUUGGACUUGACUAGUCAACAGUACUACUCUCGAGUCGUAACCAAUAUUAGUAUGCGAUUACUGUAUAGUGUAAUUUUACUCAAACACUGAAUUUUCUGGACUUAUAGAUAGAUAAGUACUAUUUAGAAAUGACUAGACAUGAUAAACAAGAUCGAAGUGGAUGGCCAAUGUAUGAUACCGAUAACUGUUCAAAAUUUCAGACUGUGAUGAAAAAUUGCUGAUCUGAAGCUAGCUCUAUGUUAGACAAGGAAAUAUUUCUAUGAAUCUGAAACUCCAAUUAUAACAAGGCUUUCGAGCUACCAUCGUCGGCUUCAGUGUGAAAUAAUUAAAGAUCAGAGGAAAGUAGUGUAGCGUGAGUAUUGACGUACUCCAGUACGUGGAUCUGUAGUGUGAAACUCGAAAACCAAAUUCAGUAUAUAUCUCUGAGGCUCUGACCUCGAUCUCUUUAAUUAUUUUUCUGUGGAUUGGUUAUUUCUCCAGUUAGCAAUGAAAGCGUUAGGUGAUAUAGCUAGAUGCUUGUGGGUUUGUAUAUUAAUGUUCAAGGCUUUCAGAAAUCUGUGGUACGUUGAAUGACUUAAAUCAGAUCGAGAUUCAAGCAAGGCAGAGAAAACGAAGAUGUAUUCCCAUGCAGAAGGUGAUUCUUCAUCGAUUAAACUAAUAGAUGAACAUAAUUCUGUCGAACUUGAAUCGUUCAUGUUUAUAAUAGAAAAACGCAGUUUUGAGUGUCUUAAUGAUAACCAAAUUGGCUGAAAUUUUGCAGAGAUGAUUUAUACAUUAGUAUCUAAAUACUAGACGGUGGAGAUGUGAAAAUUCGAUUGAAAAGUGAGUGUAAAGUGGAAAUCCGCACCGUAAGAAUAAAUGCGAACAUCCGCACCUGAGAAAAUCUGUGUGUGUGUGUGUGUAUAUAUAGGUAUUUUUCUCAGCUGCGGACAUCUGCACCAAUGGUUUGGUGUGGUAUUUUUUAUUUUUCACCUACUUUUCGUAUCGUAAUUUGCUCAUCUCCACCGUCUAGUAUCUAGAUAAUAUUGUGNNNNNNNNNNNNNNNNNNNNUGUGUCGACACCCUUGUUGUUUUUUUUUUUUUUUGUAAUGAUGCUACCCUUGUGUUUUCUUUCCUUCUUAUUUGUGCGGCCAUUGAAGAAGAAAAAUAUAAGUCAAAGGGAUCUUAAUGGCCUCAACCCUUGUGUUUUCUUUGCUUGUGUUUUUUUUCCUUUGCUUCUCAUUAAUCCUCUCAUUAUUAUGCACCUAAUAAUGAGAGGAUUAAUUAUUUCCUUUUUGCCCAACAGAACAAGGAAGUACUAGUCGAAAUUCAAAACACGAGGAUAACUCAUGUAAUUCCAAACAGUUUAAUUCCGGGCCUCUAUCCGUUUGACGUUAAUUGUGAUCAGUAACAAAGCCAUGAUGACCUAAUUUCCAUGUUAAUUGCGAUCAGUACAAUUAUGUUUUACAAUUCUAAAUUUUAAAAACAAGCAUGAAACAAUUGUUAAUGUAAUUAAAGUUUAUGUAGCUGAACUAGACUAUGGUUUUUAGGUUUUGUGAUUUUCCCCACUGAUCCUAAAAUGGACAGCACUAAAAAAAAAAUCAAAAACUUAUGAUUGUUACUCAAGUCGAAAUCACAAAACGAAAGCUCAUCAACUACUUCAUACCCCGCGAGGUGCCUGUCUAGUAAAAACUAAGAUACGUACCAAUAGGAUAUCUAUGACAAUAUACUAAACCAACCUCAUUUAGUUCUGCAACGAAAACCUAAUAAAGGACAAGCCUGAUUACAUGACUCUCUUUUGAAUAAAAAUUUCUCUGGCAUGUAAACUUGUAAAGAGAGAUUUCCAUCGCACCUCCAGAACAGCCAGAACUUGACCAUGGUAAUCAAAGCAGCUGGCUCUAACACUAGCUCUUCUCUUAAUUGUUAGUUUGUUACAUAUCUACAAUUUACUUCCUGCAUAUAAAUUGAAGCAAGAAAUUUGGUUUCUUUUGGUAAUGAUGGUACAGAGCCGAAAACAGUGUGAUCAUCACCACCUUGAUUUUGUGUCAUGACACUCCCUGCCAAAGGUUCGUUCUCAUCCAGCUUUUAUCAAAAAAAAUAUAUACAUAUAUAUAGCCUUUCUCGGCUGCGGACAUCCGCACCAAUGGUUUUGGUUUCCAUUUUUGCACCACUUUUCGAUCGAAUUUCCUCAUCUCCACUGUCGAGUAUCUAGAUAAUAUUGUGUAGAUCAUCUCUGCAAAAUUUCAGCCAAUUUGGUGACGUUAAGGCCCUCAAAAUUGUGUUUUUCUGGUAUAAACAUGAACCGGACAGAAUUCAAUCCGUCCAUUUGUUUUUCGAGUUUGAGGGCCUUAACGAUUACCAAAUUGGCUGAAAUUUUGCAGAGAUGAUUUACACAAUAUUAUCUAGAUACUACACUGUCGAUAUGAGGAAAUUCGAUCGAAAAGUGGUGAAAAAAUAAGAAUCCGCACCAAACCAUUAAUGCGUACGUCCGCAGCUAAGAAAAAUUAUAUAUAUAAACACAUAUAUAUAUGUUUGACCCUAACCCCAACUGGGCGUGAAAUUUUGAUAAUUAGGUGGGGUUUUCGUGCCCAGAUGAUUAGUCGUCAUCACAAGAAUACUGAUUCUAUUUGGUUACCUGUAGGCUUUUAGUCUUUUACCAAUAAGGUUUGGUUGAAAGUUAUCAUUUUCCCAUAGCAGAUAAUCAGCCAGACAAGCCAAUUCACCUGAGAAUGAUCGAGUCAUGGGUCACUAAAAAGUUUGAAACUAAAUCCAUCGCAUGAAUUCUACAUGAACAUAUUAGGUGAUGUAAAACUGUCACUCACUUCGUCAUGACAUUGUCAUUUGGUAUUAGGUAUGACUAUCAAAAUGCCUUCAGGAUGAUCGACCAUGUUUGAUAUAGAUCUACAUGUAUAAAUAGUUUUACUUAAACCGAACUGCCUAGGUUAAAAUUGACUACACAUAACACACUAGACCUUUAAUUUUGAAGUAGUUCAUAUAUACUUCUUCGAGGUUUUGAGCAUGUACUCAAUCUUUAGUGACAGAUUUGGUCGGUCGUUCCAUUUAGAUGCAAGAGCUAGUUAGGCUUAGCCAGGCAUGAGCUGUAACUCGAUCAUCGAUCAUUGUCAUAUACCAGUGUAGAGGAAAUGGCUAAUUUUCCAGAUUUAGACUGAAAUUUUUUUGAAGUACUGGUGACCUAAUUAGAAUGAGACAUAUGUGUAUGGUAAGUUACUUUGACACAAGGAGUCGAUCGAGUACUACUUCGGUUAUUAGUGUGAGAAGUACCAUUUAUCAGUUGCUGUUCUAUCUCUUGCGUACAAGAUAAGCAAUUUAUAUGCAUGUACGGUUGAUAAUUGAAAAUGUUGUACGUACUAAUGUUGUACUGAAAUGUAUGAAACGUGCUUAAGAGCAUUAUUAGAUCCAACUGGAUAAAAUGAAAGCCACUGUCUAGCUACGCACGACCAGUAGUACUCUAUACCAAUUCUUGUACCUCAAAACCUUUUUUUUUUUUUGGAAGCUACAAUUAAUCUAUCUCGGACCUUAAAAUAAUUAACUUUCUCGGUUAUACAAACCAAAACACACACAAAAAAAAGUGAGACAAUACAGAAAAAUAACAUCGAUAGAUUAACAUGAGUUAAAUUUUCCAAACGACUCGAAAACAAGAGUCUCCAUAACCUCACUCUCUAUCUCUUUCCACUCCCGAAUCCCACCCACUAUCUUCCUUGUCCUGAAAUGAUGAAUAGCCCAAAGAAUCAACACAUCAACAAGAACACACACAAGACACAACACAACGUAGCUUUCAUUUUAGUGCUAAUUCUUAGAUCAACCAUAAUAAACAAAAACAAAAACAAAAACAAAAACAAAAACAAAAUUCGAAAUUUUAUGUUCAAGCCAAGAAAAUAGAAUAUACCAUAACAGUUUAAAAUAUAUAAACCAACUUUAAUAUAUAUACUAAUAUACGUGGAUGGUACAUAUAUAUAUUCGGUGGUGUUCUUGUUUGUGCAUGGUCCAUCUGGGAAUUUUGGGUCCCCGAUAACCAUUGCUCGUCUCUCUCUGCUACAAAGCUACCUUGUCAUCUUCUAGCUUUUCUUCUCUUCUCUCUCAAUAUUGCUGCGCUCCGCGUUACAUGUCUUUUCCCAUAGAUUCCGAACACCGCGUUCUGCGACCACUUCACUCUCUCUCUUUUAAACAAAUCACUCUCCUCCUCCUUCUCCCUGCAUUUUCCCAAAUAACGAAUCAGAACCACCGCCUUCAUUUCUUUAUAUUAUCAUCUUCGUUAUAUUAUAUACAACUCUCUCUAUCCCUCUCUCUCUUUCUGCUGUUUGUGAUCUUACCUUAGCUUGGUUUGGUUUCUUUAUCAUCAAUGAGGGGUCAUCAACGCCGAUGGGCCUCGGACUCGGUCCCGGACAAGACGAUAGCCAGCGGCACUACGUCUCCCGGGACCGAGUCCACCUCGGGAGAGGAGUUCGUCGAGGUGACCCUAGAUUUGCAGGACGACAACACUAUCGUCCUGCGCAGCGUCGAGCCGGCGACGGUGGUUAAUAUUCCCGACGACGGAGAGGCGACUCCGGCGUCUUCCUCGAGGUCGUCGUCGAUAAGGCGGAGCUCGUCCAAUAGUAGAAUCCGGCAGUUUUCUCAGGAGCUGAAAGCGGAGGCGGUGGCCAAGGCUAAGCAGUUUUCACAGGAGCUGAAAGCCGAGCUGAAGCGAUUCUCGUGGAGCCAUGGAAAUGCGUCGCGCGUGCUCGCUGCUUCUUCUGCGAUUGCUUCUCAGAAUAAUGGAGGAGGCGCCGGGAGCGGUUACCAUGACUCGGCUCUGGCGGCGAGGGCUCUGAGGAGGCAGAGGGCUCAGCUGGACCGAACCCGCUCCGGAGCGCAGAAAGCGCUCCGGGGACUGAGAUUCAUCAGCAACUGCAAGAGUAAGAGCAAUGGCUUGGAUGCAUGGAACGAGGUCGAGAGCAAUUUCUACAAGCUCGCCAAAGACGGCAACCUCUACCGUGCCGACUUCGCCCAAUGCAUAGGUUGGGAUCAUUCAUUUCAUGAUCAAUAUUUCCACGCAUUCUUUGUGAUUAGUUCGGUCAUUGUUUUCGAACAAUUUGUCUUUGUGUUUUGUGUUUCCAUGAUCACCUCCUCCAUGCCACUUUCACCGUUGAGCAGUUUUCUUAGUGUGAUUAAUUUGUUAUGUUUGAUUAAUUUUUCUCUUUAGGAAUGAAAGAUUCAAAGGAGUUUGCUCUGGAACUGUUUGAUGCGCUCGGCCGGAGACGAAGAUUGAAGGUGGAUAAAAUCAGCAAGGACGAGCUUUACGAGUUUUGGUCGCAAAUUUCCGAUCAGAGUUUCGAUUCAAGACUUCAGAUCUUCUUCGACAUGUACGCUUUAAUUAAUUAAUUAAUUACUCACUAAUCAUUUUCAACCAUAGUUUUAUAUUAAUUAACUAUCCCUUUCUAAAUUAAUUUACCCAAAGCAACACUCUUGGACAACAGGGGCCAAAGCUGUCUUUUCCCAUUUAAUUCUAUAUUCUCCUGUUUUAUACCACAGGGUGGACAAAAACGAAGAUGGAAGAAUUACCGAAGAAGAAGUGAAAGAGGUAUUUCUUCGUUUUUGUUCCCAAAAUUCCUCUUAUCCGUAUUGCAUACCAUUCAUUAAUCAACAUCUAAACGAAUUCAUACAUUAUAUAUUGUUUUUACUCGUCAGACAAUACGUUGAUGUAUGUACUAACUAGUACGGUAAAAAAAUGGUCGUUUCCUCAAAUGAUUUCGAUCUUGCAUAAUCGGUUACGUUAGUUUAUAAUAUAGUUGCAGUUUUCAUGGACUAGCAGCCUAAAGUCCACCUCUACGUGAAGAUUUGGAUAUCACGACUAAAUUAGCACCCUAAAAUUAGACUUUGGCAUUUCAGCUAAUUUGGUUCAUGGUCUACAGGGUGUCACACAUAAAAUAUUAGACGGUAGGAGGGAAUUUUUUAUUUUUAUUUUUAUUUUUAUUUUUUAUUUUUUUUAAAGAACUGACGUCGGUAGGAGGGAUUGGGUGACCUUAAAUACGUAAAAUUCCAAAACUAACUACCACACUGCAAUAAACAAAUUAGAAUUUGGGGUUUGAGUUUUCUUGGCCAAGAGGUUUUCAAUUCCAUGUUCUUAAGCAUCUUUGAUUUUCUAUAAUUAGUCGGGUGAGUGCACCAGGUCGGUCUCUCUCUUCUGCAAAACUAAAACAGAUGUCAGUUUUGAUUUUCUUAAUUUUUUUGAGGAAUGAUUUAUUCGCUUUCGGUGGGGUUGGUGAGGGCUUUUUGGUCAAAACAGUUAUCCGAUGAUGCAAGCUUGAGAGUCUGGUCUCCAUUUGUUUGGCAAAAACAAGAAGAAAAUAAUUCGGGUCUUUGUUUGGAAAAUAAUGCAUACGAAGUCGGUGUUUGUUGGAAAAAAUUGUCAUUUCACCUAAUAUGAUUUUUUUUCUUUUGCCUUUUGCUUAUAGUGAAUUUUGAUUUCACCUAAUGCGAUUUUUAAUUAUUUGUAUUUGUUUAAUUUGAAUGACUCUAAUUAGAUCAUCAUGCUGAGUGCUUGCGCCAACAAGCUAUCAAGAUUGAAGGAACAAGCAGAGGAAUAUGCAGCUUUGAUCAUGGAAGAGUUGGAUCCUGAGAGACUUGGCUAUAUUGAGGUUGGUCAAUUUUUUCUAGAUGAUUUUUUUUUUGGCCCAUUAAAAUGUCAUUUACGUCCAUUAUGAGUUACGUACACAAAAUUUGCUAGAAACUAUCUUAUAUAUAAAAACGUAAACUAUCAGAUCGUUUUGAACGUAACCAUGUGAACACUACUGGGAAAUUAUAUUUUUUUUGUAUUGAUAUGAAUAAUCGGAUCAAUGAUUGAGUUAUUUAAGAUCAAAUAAGGUCCUUGACCAGUUGGACUUUUUCUUAGUGUAGUAUGGAUUGCUAUGAGAAGUUACAUUGUUUUCAUGGCGGUCCAAUUCUAAAGGCAUGCAAGGCUCGUGAAACAUUUUUAUAAGCUUUCGAUGCGUCAUUUACCUUAUCACCUCUUCCAUUCCAAUCGUUUACGACUGUUUCAAUCACUAUUAUUUUUGCCUUUCCUUGCAAAGUUGUUCAUAUAGUGGAUACGUUCAAUCCUCAUGAUCUAUGCUGUUGUCACUUGCAUUAUAUAUUGGUUAAAGAUAUUGUCGUGAAUCCAUGUCAAGAUUGAUAAUCAUCCUUACCUACUACACCAUCGACACUACAUUUUCUUUCCUCCCAUGCUAAUUUUAUUAGGUGUAUCCUAUACAUUACAUUGCUAAACUCAAUUCUUCAUGUUCACGAAUUGUUGUGUUCUUAACGUUUCAUUUAGAUUAGAUUAGUUAGGAGGGAAUUUAGGAGGAAGUGUGCCCUGCGGUCUUCUGUUGUAGUUAUUCCUUUCAUGUAUCGAUAAAAGUUGUGGCAAAUUGAUCAUAAAAAUUACGAGUUACUUUAACCUUCAAUCAUAACAAAUUAUUUUUGUCAUUGCAGUUAACCCAUAAACUAGAGGCUAGGCACAUUCUUUUGUCCCCCAAAAGUUUUUAUUUUCAACAUAGAUGGGGUUUUGGUUGACACCACAUAUAUAAAGUUCUUUUCCCGUGUGGACUUGUGCUAAUUUCAUUAUGCUUAAUUUUCACUCAAACACGUAUCCACGCAUGUGAGAUUUGCCAUGAUUCAUGAGUUGACAUCACGGAGAUAUCUGAUAUCUAUAAUUUGCAUGGCUCUAUUCAAAUCUCUGAUAUGAUAUUAUUGCUCAUGGUGAUGAUGAUCGAUGCAGCUAUGGCAAUUGGAGACCCUUUUGCUCCAAAAGGACACCUACCUAAACUACAGCCAAGCACUGAGCUACACGAGCCAAGCACUGAGCCAGAACCUCCAAGGCCUCCGAAGGAGAAGUCCAAUACGCAGAAUCAGCAGCAAAUGCAUUUACUACUUGCAAGAGAACUGGAAGAGGCUCUGGGUUUUGACACUCUGGGUGUGCAUUAUGAUCGGACUCUUUACGUGGAAGUUCUUCCAGUACAAGCAGAAAAACUCGUUUCAGAUAAUGGGGUACUGUCUUCUCACGGCCAAGGGCGCGGCGGAGACGUUGAAGUUCAACAUGGCUCUGGUGCUGUUACCGGUGUGUAGAAACACCAUCACUUGGCUGAGGAACACCAGGGUCGGCUUCGUUGUGCCUUUCGAUGAUAAUAUCAACUUCCACAAGGUAACAUUCUCACCAACCCUCAUCAUCCUUUGCUUAUUUUAUACGUUUACAACUUAGGUUUGUUGUCUUGGGACCCAAAUAAUUUGAGGGUGUCUUUUUAGUGGUAAAGUCAAUUCGAGAGGUUGACCUAGCCAAAAUGAAUGGAAAUACAGCUUCAAAUGGAAACUGGAAAGCACAUUUCAUACACGCAGCGAAAGUUGACGAAUAAGUAGCCCAUCUGUGUUCUUGAGGGUAAAAGCUAGAACAGAAGAUAGUGGAAACCAGACCAGAUUGAUCGAGUUAUACCUACGCUACUUUUCCUUUUUCAUUGAACCAAAAGGAAAAUAUAUGUCAUACUCUGGUCACUUAGCUUCUACUUCCAAAGCUAAAGGGUCAUGAUCGACACAUCAUUAACCAGCUGUUAUCGACUAUUAUCGACCAAAUUUGAGUAGUACUGAUCAUAUCGAAUCUAACAAUUCGAUGCAUCAAUCAGCGUAAUUAGAGAAUUUAGAUUAAAUUUGUCCAAGAAGGCCAGAACUGUGGCUAGUCAUUGCAACAAUUUCAACAUUUUCUUCACAGCUAAAGCAAGGUUGGACGAAGUCUUGAGUACGUAGCAAUAGCCAUGACAGACGACUGUUGCAAAAAAAUUAUCUGACACUGUAAAUUGGGAUGAUUUGUGUUCUCUUAAGUGCUCAAGAUUAUGAUCAUCAGUGCAUUGUGCUUGGCGUGCCUGCUGUAAUGGUUAUUGAUGACACAUAUUGACUCACAGUGACAUAGAUAUAUCUGUUUGCGUAUCAAGGUUUACCUUAGGAUCUCCAAGAGCAGGAGUAUAACUGCAUGAAUAACAGAGAUGAUUUGUAGAGGUCCUGAGUUUGAUUUUGUUAUAGUCAUGCAAUGCUUAGACAUUAGCCCUUUACUGAUGAUUUUCAUUUGCUAAUGUUUGCAGAGUAUUGCUGCAGCCAUUGUAAUUGGUGUCAUUCUCCAUGCUGGGAAUCAUCUUGCUUGUGAUUUUCCGAGGCUUAUAAAGGUGCCAGAAUCAGUUUAUGAGGAGUAUUUGCAUGAUGACUUUGGAACGCAUAAACCGACAUACUUGGAUUUGGUUAAAGGUGCCGAGGGAGUGACUGGAAUUUUAAUGGUGAUAUGCAUGACAAUUGCUUUCACACUCGCAACAAAAUGGUUCAGGCGGAGCCUCAUUAAGCUGCCGAAGCCCUUCAAUAGGCUCACUGGUUACAAUGCAUUCUGGUAUUCUCAUCACCUAUUUGUCAUCGUCUAUGCCUUGCUCAUUAUCCAUGGAGUCUUCCUCUAUCUUGUGCACAAAUGGUACCUGAAGACGGUAUAAUUUGAAAUCUCCUUGCAUUGAUUGCUAACAUUAAAAGGUCUAUCAUUGUGUAUAAUUUGCUUAAGGUUGCCGUCUUCAUUUUUCCAGACUUGGAUGUAUCUCUCCGUUCCAGUUUUACUAUAUGCUGGUGAAAGAAUCCUGAGAGUCUUCCGGUCAGGCUUUUCUACUGUCCGGCUUCUCAAGGUGAGCAAACAUAUAUUGUGCUAAAACUUUAGGUCCUUUCUCUAGCAGGACUGCUUUUCAAUUUAAACCUAUUUUCUUUAAAAUUCUAAAUAGGUUGCUAUAUAUCCUGGAAAUGUUCUCACAUUGCAAAUGUCUAAGCCACCUCAGUUUAAAUACAAAAGUGGACAGUACAUGUUUGUUCAGUGCCCAGCUGUUUCCCCAUUUGAGUGGUUAGUCAUCAAAAAUUAUGUUUCCCCUUUCUGUAUAUCAGUACUGCCUGGUUUUCUUAUGUGAAUGUUAAGAUGCUCUUUGUAUGUACGUCAGGCAUCCGUUUUCUAUUACGUCUGCUCCCGGAGAUGACUACCUUAGCGUUCACAUCCGUCAGCUUGGUGACUGGACACAAGAGCUUAAGAGGGUAUUCUCAGAAGCCUGUGAGCCUCCCUUAGCAGGGAAGAGUGGCCUACUAAGGGCUGAUGAGACCACCAAGAAAAGGUGCGUAUUGCUUAAUUAUAUCUUCUAGCAUUGUCUUCCCUGUUUUUGGUCAAGAUUUUGUGUAACAUCUAAAUAUAAGUUUUUGAACAACAGUUUGCCCAAGCUUUUGAUAGAUGGACCUUAUGGAGCGCCGGCACAAGACUAUCGGAAGUAUGAUGUCCUGUUGCUUGUUGGACUUGGGAUUGGGGCAACACCUUUCAUUAGUAUUUUGAAAGAUUUGCUCAACAAUAUUGUCAAAAUGGAGGAACAGGCAGUAAGUUAGCUUUUUCAUGAAAGCUAUGCACCAAGUCAGUGUCCAUUUAUUUUAAGGAGUAUCAUCUGGCAUUUGCCAACUCACAAUUCUGCUGUCUUCUUUUUCAGGAUUCUCUCUCAGAUUUCAGUAGAAAUUCAGACCUAAGUUCAGGAAGUACAGAUUCUCCCAACAAGCUUAAUCCGAAACGAAAAAAGACUCUGAAGACCACUAAUGCCUACUUCUAUUGGGUAACUAGGGAACAAGGCUCAUUUGAUUGGUUCAAAGGAGUGAUGAAUGAAGUUGCGGAUCAAGAUCAAAGGGUACUUACAAACGUUAUGCCUUUGAAUUUGACUGUAGUUGACCAUGUAUUUGUUUGUUGUUAACUUCAUGCCUUUUGACUUGAAUUUAGGGUGUCAUUGAGAUGCACAACUACUUGACUAGUGUGUAUGAAGAAGGCGACGCUCGAUCAACACUAAUCACCAUGGUUCAAGCUCUCAACCAUGCUAAGAAUGGGGUUGACAUUGUAUCUGGCACUAGGGUAUGAAAUUUGAUCUAUUUCAUUCUCUAAAUCAGUAAUGCUAAUUGCAUACCAGAAAGUUUAGAUAUGAAAUUCACUGCUUGUAUUUGAUUCUUGUGAUCAGGUUCGUACUCAUUUUGCAAGGCCUAACUGGAAGAAAGUUUUCUCUAAAUUUUGCUCCAAGCACUAUGGUGCAAGGAUAGGUGAGACAAUUUCCUCAAGCACAAAAACUGUUUACAGAGUUUGGUUUCUCCAAGUUUAUUUAUUCUGUUAUGUUGAAACAUUCAGGGGUAUUCUAUUGUGGAGCACCAGUUUUGGCCAAAGAACUCAGCAAGCUUUGCUAUGAGUUCAAUCAAAAAGGUCCAACCAAAUUUGAAUUUCACAAGGAGCACUUUUGAAAGAUUCUUGGAAUGCAUAUAUAAGUAUAUAUAGCACUCUUGCCUCAGCUUCUCCAUUCAACUCCAUCACUUCCAUUCAACUCCAUUACUUGCAGAGUAAGAAAUUUUGCAUUAAUCGUAGGUCAAUAAAAUGAAGAGUAAUUUGUACAGUCUUGGGUAGAAAAAAGAAAAACAAACAGUGAUGUAUACAAGUGUUAGUAUUUAGUCAUAUAUGUAAAUCAAAGCAAUAGCACAACCAGAAGAAAUGUUCUGGUUAGUGAGAUUGAUGAUUAGGAAUCUCAGUGAUGCAAUAUUAGCCCUGCACUGUACUAGUGGUCUGAGAUGGGAUUAUAGGUGAGGUAGAGCAAGUGACCUAAACUGUCAUUGUUGGGGAAGGUACCAGCUUAGAGUGUGGUACAGCUACCGUGGAGAAGUUGACCCAAGAUUGGUAAAAGAUUUGAAUGGGGUGAGUGGUAGACACCCAUUGGUGGGCAGAAGAAGACAGUUUGGAAAAGGAGAGUGAAACUGAGGAAGGUUCUCUGGACUUGUGGGAUGAGGUGAGGUGGGAGUGAGAUGGUUCUGUCUGUUUGAGGAAAAUCUUCAUGUUCAUCUUUUGUGAAAGUGGGCUCAGAGAAUCCUUCUAGAAUUUGAGGAUGAUGAUGCAGAGGACCACGUGGAAAUGCAAUUAUUUUUUAUAGGGUACUUUACAAUAAUGGAGUUUUGGCUUUAAAUGAGGAUCAUACUUCUAAGUUUUUCUCAUUGGGGGUCAGAUCCUGAGAUCCAUAUAUAUGAAUGGAAGCAUAACAUUGCAGUAUCUUUUGGAAGAUUUUGGUAUCCAAUGUACAGAAAAGAAUUAGUUCAUUAUAGUCUGAACUCAGAACUUGAAUCCCACAUAUAUAUUUGUUCUUCUGGUAUUCCUAUGCUUCAAUAAAAGAUACUCCUCAGAUGAUCUCAUAAUCACAAAAAAAUCCCAGAAGAAGGUCUGAUAGUCUGAUACAAAGAGUAAUCCAGUUAGUCAUUAACUAAAUUAUCUAUGUGCACCACUAAGCUGUUGUCAUUCCUCAGUUAAGCUUGGCAUGGUUUUGGGUUAAGAGAGAAACAAAAAUUUUGGCCCAACUAAAAAUUAUACCUGUUUGCUCAUUAUCAAGUUAUGGGCCUUUGAAGUGAAAUUGCCCAAAUUGUACCUCAGAGGUUAAGCUUUAGCUACAGGGACGCUAGAACGUUAAAGACAACAUCACAAACGACAGGUCGUUCGUUAAGACAAACGACAAUCCUGCGGCCUAGACGGAGAUGCCGCGUGUCUAGGCGGUGACAGGUGUCGUGUGUCUACAAGUAAAAAGGUAAAGAGCGAAUGACCAAAUCAUCCUAAAUCAGUUAAAAAACUACAAGUAAAUAAGCGGGCUACGUGGAGAAAAAAAUUUUCUGUCUUCUAGGAGGACCAUGUCUUCAUGUAUGUAUAGUGGUCCUCCUUUGUUAAUAGGAAGUCGUUAUAUAGUAUUUUUUGAUAUAUCAUAAUAUGAUAAAAUAAUUAUUAUAUUUAACUUAAGUAAAUUUAACUUUAAAAAAAUAAAUUAAGUAAAACCAAACAAGAUCAAACAAAAAAAGAACUCAGAUUUAAGGUUCAUCAUCUCACCAAAAAGAAGAAAAAAAAUUCCAUAUCUCCAUGGUAGUUGAAAAAGGAUGGAGGUCGAAGAAACGAGCAAAGAAAAACCUUAAAUUGAACAACAAGGAGAUUUGUAUGCCUUCGGAGCUGGGUUUGAACCGCUCCAAAAUAAUUAUUAAACCCUUCACAUUUCUUUCAAAUGUCUCAAUGCCCUCAUAAAAGAGUUUCUAGAAUGUCUUUAGUACUAAGUGAGUGAUCUUAAUUUAUUGAACUAUCAUGGAGAUUUGAUUUUUAUUUUUUUUGGUAAGGAGAUGAGAUGAACCCUAGAUCUAGAUCUCCGGGUUUUUUUUUUGUUUGAUCUUAUUCGGUUUUACUUAAUUCAUUUUUUUAAAGUUGAAUUUACUUAAGUUAAAUACAAUUGUUUCACAUUAUUAUGACAUGUCAAAAAAUACUACAUGACCACUUCCUAUUGGUCAAGGAGGACCACUAAGCAUGCUGACGUGGUCUUUCUGGAAGACAGAAAAAUUUCUCUAGGUGGAGACACCAUAGGGCUAGGCAGUGCCAGGUGUCGUAGUCCUAGCGGGGCAGUGGGGUCCAUCCUUUAUCAUUUUCGUUAAAAGAAGAAGAAAAAAAAAGUGUUCUCUCCCUCGGCCGCUGAAGUCUGCCACACCUCCCUCUCACCGCGUCACCGCCGCCGCCGCCGUGCUCCAUCACCCAGCGACGCUCUACACCGGCGGACCCAAUGGCUCCCUCAUCCUACGUAGGAACUCGUGCGUACAUAUAGCUAGUUAUAUCCUGUGUAUGUGGCCACGCUGCUGCGCCAGAGCCAACCUGGCCAUCUGUGACCCCAUUGCGGUUUCGUGAAACUGAGUAGAGAGACUGACUGAGCAUGCAAUGCUGAGCUGAACUCAAUCUCUGGUGCGAUAAUAAGCAACAGCAAUACAACAUACACCUCCAACGCACCCCAGAUUACGUACAAUUCGAAGCUGUGUCUUUCUCUUCCAGAAGUUAAGAAGAAGAGUUGAAGAGGCCUAUCUUUACGUGGAAGCCUGAGUGAAGGAGCUUAGUUCCAUUAUAUACAAAAGCAGUACCAUCAGUGGCGGAUCCAGGAUUUAAACAUGGGGUGGGCUUCAAAUUUGGCGGAAGGCCAAAAAAAUUUUUGUUGUAUACCCAUGCAAAGUGUAGGAGCUCAAGCAUACGUCAAUUACGAGUCUUUGAAAGAAAUGAAAAUAGGCGGCAAUAAAAGUAGAAGAAAAUUUAAAAAAUAAGAGACAAAUUAGAAAACCCAAUAAGAAUAGAUUGAAAUCCGAUAUUUUAUCGGAUUCAAUAUAGGAAAAAGAAGAUUAGAAAAUUUAUAUUCAAUGAACUUUAGAGAUUUAAGCAGGAUAAGACUAGAAAAUUAGAAAGAUAAGAAGAAGAAUUGAAGAGUAGAGAUAUAGUCGCAUACAGAGGAAGAUGAGAUGUGUAAAAGUACGGAAGUUAGGUGGGCUUGAAUGCACAAAAAAGAUAUAUAUCUAAUAAAAAAACAUAAUACACUUAGUUUUAUUUUCAAUCCCAAAAACCUUGGUUGGGCUCGAGCCCCACCAACCUCUGCACUGCCUCCGCCCCUGAGUACCAUGUUUCUAAAGUUCACCAACUCACCCAGAAAAAUCGCAUUUGGUAUAAAAGUUACUAGUUGUUACUCAUUAGAAGUUGCCAAAGCACUAAAGGAGACUGUAGAAAGCAGGAUGGAUGAAGAUUUCUUAAUGCUAAUAUUCUUAUCAACCUUCACCUCCUUAAGUUCGGGUACUCCUAACUGCUUCAGUAAAAUACACACAGAUGAUCACAAAAAGAUCCCAGAAGAAGGUCUGGUACAAAGAGUAAUCCAGUUUUUCAUUAACUAAAACCAAGUCAAAGACAAGAAACAUGCAUCUAGCAAAACCAAAACUAUGCUUAAUUAGUUUUUGAAAAGAACUUUAUGCAGCAUAAACUGAAACAUUCUGGAGUCUGGACCUAUUGCCAUUCCUUAGUUAAGUUUAGCAUGGUUUUGGGUUAAGAUAGACAUAAUUCUUGGCCCAACCUCUGCUUCCUCAUUAUCAAAGUUAUGGGCCUUUGAAGUGACUUUACCCAAAUUGUACCUCAGAGGUUCAGCUAUAUACUAGAUUCACUGACGCAUGAAAGUUGAUAAAAACAUCACAAACGACAGGUCGUUCGUAAAGACAAACGACAAUCCUGCGGCCUAGGCGGAGAUGCCGUGUGGCUAGGCGGUGACAGGUGUCGUGAGUCUACACGGGUUACGGGGUCCACCAUUUUAAAAAAAAGAGAGAAAAUACUAAAUCAGUUAAAAAAGACUGAAACUAAAUAGUGCGGGGUAGGCGGACACGUCGUGUGCCUAGGCGGUGCCACGCGUCAUGGGCGUAUAGGGGCUAGGGGGUCCACCCUUCAUAAAAAAGAAAAAAAGACGAAAGGCUGCUGAAGUCUCUCUGAAAAUGGUCAUAUGGUCCGCCACGCCUCCCUCUCACCGCGUCAUCGCCGCCGCCGUGAUCCACCGCCCCCCGACGCUCUACACCGGCGAAUCAGAUGGCUCACUCAUCUGGUGUAACCUCCACUCCGAUUCCACCUCAGUAACCUCAUCCUCCAUCUCUCAAUGCCAUCAUUGGGUUUCGGAAACUGAGAAGAGAGAUUCACUGAGCAAUGGUGAGCUGGAAUCGAGUUCCAGCGAGUUAAUAAGUAACAGCAUACACCUCCAACGCAUUGGUGGAGUCUGUGUCUAUGCAUGGUUGUGUUUAAUGCACGUUCUUACUUCAGAAUCCAGAUUACGUUGAGUUGGAACGGAGGUACUUGUUAUGUUCAUGAUAUAUUGUAGUUGAAUGAUUGAAACUGCCACGUCAUGAUACUGGGAUUCUCUUAUUAGUUAUUAUCAACACCCUGUUAGAAUCAAAUUAUUUAUCCAAUAAGAGAGAAAUGUUCAAGCAUGGACGUCCAUGUCUGGACGAUUGCUCAAGGUUUCCCAAAUCCGUGCUUAUAAUUUGUAAUGUUGUAUUAGUACGUAGGUUGUUUGAAGUAAGGAUUAAUCUUAACACUAAUCUGGUGCCAUGUUUGAAAUGAUAUUCCACGUUGAAACGUUGCCCUAAUAUAUAUAGUAGAUUGGACUGUGAAGAGACUAGAGCUAGAGGAUCAGGCAUCUUUUAGCUGUUGAUGUUUGUUGUUACGAGGGCAACACCACGCAAUUCAAUAGUAGCUCAAACCCCACUCCCGUGCUAAGCUCCAAAGGUCUCUCUCUUCGUCGGUCCAUAAUGGCUGCUGCUUCAUAUAUAGGAUCGGAGUCCAGGAGAGGAGCAGUUCUUGAUGGAGAAGGAGCAGCCACCUUCGUUUUGUUUUAUCCUUUGCCAAGGUCUCCCUGUAACUCUAAUAUAAUGACAAUGAUAAUGAUAAUACUCUCUCUGCUCUUCCAUGGACAUUCCCGAUCGGCUUGCAAAACGACCGACGUAGUCUGGUCUUUCUUGGUAGACUUUGUAACAUUGGCACCUUCGCACGCCACACGUUAAUGUGCUAGCUGUACGUACAAUUCGAAGGUGUCUUUCUCUUCCAGAAGAUCGAUAACAUAUCUUUACGUGACAAUCAUCCCACUUGAGCAUCCAAGAGUCUUUUUCUUACCAUAAAACCUAGUCAAUGUAGGUGUCCAAGGCUCCAUGUCCUUGGUUUCGGAAUUAAUUAAGCUUGGUGUGUACUGAAUACGACUAAGGUGUUCAUUUGGGUACCGAGACUUGAUAUCCAAUAUUUACACGUUUGAUUGAAUUUCACCAUCUGUACUUCAAUGAAUGUGAUAUACGUAUCGAGAUACUUAAAUAUAUCCUAACUAUAUGGACGCGUUCGUUUGUAAAGGAGACAAUUAGAUUGAUUUGUUUUAUAGUGUAGUUUGAUGUCUUUUGUUUGGUGUUUUUCGGUACUGGUUUUAGUGUCAUCUAACUUAAUUAUAAUCUUUAUUUUUUAUUAAUUAAUUUGAGGUAAGAGUGCACUUUGCUCUACCUAGCUCCUGUUAAACAGAAAAAAGAGAUAAUUAGUGUCGGAUAACUAAUUAAACUCUAACCCCUAACGUACCCUUAAAAUCCUAAAUUAAAAAUUCAGAAGCAACCUAGCUGAUUAAGAGCUAGUUGGGAAAAUAAAACUGAUGGGUUAUAUGGUGGAGAUAUUUUACAGAAGGUUCUAUCAUUAUUGCAAAUUUACAAUAUCAUUGUUCAGCCCGCCUUUGUUUCAAAAAAAAAAAAUUCAAUAUCAUUGUUGGUCAAAGUCUUCCAUACCGAACACGUUUAGAAAUAUCAACUCAGAAAUAAUCAAAGAUUGAAGGAAAAAAAAAAAACUAAUAAGCCAAGAGAAAACAAAUCACAUGUCUCCACUUGUAUUUCCUUAAUUAAUUAACCCCAUUUAUCUUGUAUCUCAGACACCAAAGAAUAUAUAAAUACAGCAACAUGCACUCUGCUUUUCCAAAACAUUCAUCUCCUCCAUCGUCUCCUUUGCAGCUUUCUAAAACAUCUUUGAGUACCCAAUUUCAUAAACAAAGUUUCCUUUCUUCGCAAACACAAAUACAAUCCCAGAUACAAAAAUGAAAGGAGGGGGAAACAAGAAGUGCCUAGCCUAUGUUGCUAUUUUCAUCGUGUUUCAAAUCAUAGUGAUCACCAUCUUCGCACUCACAGUGAUGAAGAUAAAGGGUCCUAAAGUCAGGUUCCAAACCGCGACUGUCAGUAACUUCAACUCCGACAGCUCCACCGCUGCAUCUUUCAGCGGCGAUUUGGUGACCAAAUUUGCUGUCAAGAACACGAACUUCGGUCACUUCAAGUACCCCAACAGCACUGUGUCGAUCUUGUACGAAGGGCAAGUGAUCGGAACUGCUGCUGUCCCGAGCCAGAAAGCCAAAGCUCGAUCGACAAGGAGAACUGACAUCACCAUUAGCAUUGACUCGAGCAAGUUGUCCGGAACCACAAACCUCACAACCGCCAUAGGCGCUGGUGUUGUUCCCCUGACCAGUGAGUCCACUUUGAAGGGGAAGGUCGAGGUGAUGAAGAUCAUCAAGAAGAACAAGUCUGGCAAAAUGAGCUGCACCAUGUUGCUCAAUUUGAAAACCAGGACUGUUGAUGAUUUGAAGUGCAAGUGAUCGAGCGAAGUUCUAUAUUUGUUGUAGAUGUAGAAUUUUGGGGGAUUGAGCUUUGUUACUAUGUGCCUGUUUGAUCUACCUAGCUAGUAUUCCAUUUGUAUCUUUUCCGUUAGUUUUUCAUUUUGGGUAUUCGAGAUGUACUUUGUAGCUGUUGGCAUUUGGGUGAUUGAGUUAUAUAUUGAUUAUACAUUCUUUUACAAUUAUGUUCAUAUGAAAUAUGGUUGAUUUAUUCUCCUUUGAAAGGCUUAACUAGCUAGAUUAAUUGGAAACAUAAAUCAUGACCACGGAUGUAACAGGCCGAAGCAUUUGAAUAUGCUCCUAUAACAAAUUCAGAAUAGGCCGCCAAAGACAAAACUGAAAACUGCAAAUGGACGGUUCGCGGUUGUGCAUUUUUGGCUGCUAUACCUUGAAAUGAAAGUCUCCAUAUAUCUAUUAAUCAAAAUUAAAAAAUCACCUCAGAAAAAAACAGAUAAUCGAGCUUUAUUUCUUUCUGUUAGUGACAAUAAUAAUUGAGCUUCUUAUUUAGUGUUUUUACUUUACUUUUCAAGUAAGUGGUUGUGAUCUUUUCUUCUUUGCUUAAGAAAGAAGAAUUUAACGAACUGAAACUUUAGAGUUAAUAAUCUAGUUAAAGAGACUUUAUAUAUGCAAUGCAUCCUGUUUUACAGACAAAGAAACGAAGGCAUGCAAGAUCUAACUUUUUAUUAGGUACUGCAAUACCCCAUCGAUCUUCUUGAUUGACCCUACUUCUAAAUUGAGAAUAAUGAAUAAAAGGAUAUCUCACAAUUAUUUGGGUUUAGGGUUAUCGUUGAGGGCGAUUCAAAAAUGUUCAUUAUCUAUCUCCUUCGAAAAAUCAACAGUUCUUGGAGAAUCAAACUAUAUAGUACGUACAAUACAUUUUCAAGAUGGUCUCUCAAUUUCGACAUAAUUAUAGAAAAACGAACUUCGUCUCUGAUCAGCUAGCUACCUAUGCUCGUGAGAGUAGUUUGGUUAAUUUCACUGCUUCUCUUUAUUGUGUCAUCAGCGUUCCACUUAGACCAGCUGGAAGAAGGAGUUUUAAGAGGUUUGUGAUUUAGGUUAUGUGUUUUUAAAUUGCCAAAAAACCCUAGCUUCAAGUUCAAAAUAUUUUGGGUGGAGUUAUAAGUCUAUAACCAAGCUAAACACCAAACCCAAGUAUCCAACCCAACUAAAUGGAUAUUGGCAAUGGGCUAUACGUGUUUUUUUUUUCUUGGUCGAUCCUAUUUUGAAUUUGAAUUUUGUAAUUAAGAAAUUAGACUACCAGUUGUUGGGACGUAUCAAAUCACACGUUUGAAUACGUAACCAUCUCAUAAUUUGAUUGGUACGUUUUGUUUAGCAUAAAGCCUAAACAUUCUGGGUCAAGCUCUGUGGGAAGCUUCUAAUAUAAACUAGUACCCUUUUUUAUUUGGUUGAAUACUCAAUCAACUUCGUCCGAUCGCCUCUAUUGACAAUUUUUGAAGACCAACACACACCAUUUGAUUUGAUAUUUUCUCCACACGCUACACUAGCCAACCCCAGAAUUUCCCUGCAGUUUCAAUAAAACCAAGCUCCUCGCUUAGCUGACCUCGCCCCUCUCUGUAUAUAUUUCUACACCAACCAACCCUCUAUCACAAAUCCACAUUCUUCUCCAUCUCCAAAAUCACAGACACAUCCAAUUUUAGUACCUACCCUUUUUGAGUUUAUACCCUACCGCAACUAAAGAACCAGCCAUGUUGGAAUCAGAGAGGUUCAAGAAAAUCCAGAAGAACAGGAAAUGCUUUGCAUACAUCGGAAUUUUCAUUGUGUUCCAAAUCAUAGUCAUGACUGUUUUUGGAUUAACAGUGAUGAAGAUCAAAACCCCGAGCGUGAGGCUGAGGUCCGUGACAGUCGACAACGCCUCCAAUAGUUCCUUCACUCUCAUUGCUGAAGUUGCCGUGAAGAACAAAAAUUUCGGGAGCUACAAGUUCGAUGCCACCACGGCUAAUGUGACAUACGGCGGUGUCACGCUGGGAAAAGGUGACAUUGCCAAGGCACGCGCCGGUUUGAAAAAGACCAAGAGGUUCAAUGUGACCAUUGAGGUAAGCUCCAGUGAUUCCAGCUUUGCCACUGAGCUGGCUGCAGGGAAUGUAACACUGAGCGCUCUUUCGAGGGUGACUGGUAAGGUGUCAUUGAUGGGGAUGAUGAAGAAGAGGAAGACAGCAAACAUGAACUGCUCGAUGAUCGUUAAUGGUCCAAAGAAGGUUGUUUAUGAUUUGACUUGUAAAUGAUUUUGCCUUGGUUUUUUUUGUUUUCUUUCUCUAUCUAGCUUGUUCUUAGUUUCUUGCCCUGUUUUCUUUGUCUUGUGGGCUUUGGAUUUGUUUACAGAGAGCUUGUAUGUAGCUCGUUCAUUAUUUCUUGAUAGUAAUAAAAUAAAUAAAGAGAUUUUUGUAUACUUGGGUCUACGAAAUUUGAUAGUCACAUACUCACAUUAGUCACAUAUCUACGCUUCAUGGUCAUGGAUGGUGCUCUGUAUUUGUCAAAAGUCUCUUGUUUAUGAAAAUCAUUGGCAAAUUCUCCAAGGAAAAAUAAAUUGAAACAAAAGACGCACUUUGCCGACGAAGAGUGCAUUAGUACAUCCUCUAACUGAGGAAAUGUCGCCGGCAAAUAUAUCAGUACAACAGGUUCAAGUUUCAGUGAAAGAACAAAAGAACAGAAAUGACUUAGUGUAACCAGGCUCCUAUUAGAUGUUUCAAUAUGAAGUGCGUCAAAAAGACUCUCCUCCAAGAUCAAGAGCGUCAGUUUUGUAGACAGAUCGAAUUUCAUGGUGCAGUAGCAGACUUCUUUUUCUUCAUUAUGAGCAUCAAUUCAACCUUUCCAGUUAAUUUAGCUUGCCAGCUUGGCUGCGCAGCGUUAACACCCCGCUACUCAACUCACUCUCAAGAUUAGAAUUGCUCUGCAAUCCAUUAGUACUCAAGUUAACCUCGACAUUAUCCUACUCCUCUCCCCAAAUAGAAUCCGAAAGGUUUAUGGAGAAAUAUAUGAAUAUUAGCAAGUUCGCCUGCAGUGAUAUUCAACAGAUCAAAAGCGGCAAUCAAUCAAUCCUAACAUGUUUGGUUCCUUAGACUCAUGUAUGCCAUAACACUGUCACAAGUCACAACUAACUAAUCACAAAUACACAGCAAUAUAACUAGUAAAUCUUACAAGUCAUAAGCUCGAUUACCAGAAUUACAGUACCAAAUACUAUUCCAGGGGUGAAACGAUGAGUUCCAUGAGGACCUUAAUUUUAAGUUCUGGUUUCAAAACAAAGUCGUAAUCCUCAUAGCAAAAUGAAGGAUAAAAUAUUCAACAAAAAUAAAUUAGAUCACUCGCUAAGCCUCCUUUUUUCUGUUGUAGACGACGUGGUUAAGCAGUCAUAGUCUCAUGGAGUUCUAAUAUCUUUUUUCUGUUGUAAAAGUCUUGCACUUCUUCUGGAAGGACUACGCAAGACGACUAGGUUCUCAGAAACACGUCCUGACCUGUUGAGUUUUGGUCUAUGCAAAAACGUAUAAAAUCGAAGGUCCCAAAACGUCCAUUUCAGUUAUAAAUUCUCAGAACAAAAGCCUACAAGGUCCUCAACAAAGCCAUCAGCCAUCUAGAAGUCCACAAUUAUCACCUACGGAUCUGGACGCGUUUGAUGUAUCAAAUAAGUCCACUUCAGCAGUCGUUUCCAGAAAUUUUGUUCCUCUAAAUAACUUGGUUUAAUUUUCCUUUCUAAUUCCAAACACUAUAUAUAUGACACCAUUACAACUCUUCCAUUUCAUCAUCUCCACAAACAAUUCAACUGCCUUCACUUCCAAGUUUCAUCCUACAAAAACAAAGACACUGAAGCAGAGUGAAACCAGAGCAAUUUCUUUUCAUUCAUAUCAGAAGGAUAAAGAGAGAUGGCUGAGAACACCCACCAAGCGUACCCUACAGCUCCAUCAAACGGUUAUGCAAGAAGCGAUGGAGAGUCUUUGGUAUCCGAAGAUGAGCUCAAGCGCAAGAAGAGAAUCAAAUUGUUUACCUACAUUGGUAUUUUCAUUGUGUUUCAGAUCAUAGUGAUGACCGUGUUUGGUCUUACUGUGAUGAAGGUUAAAACUCCAAAGGCCAGAUGGGGAAGCAUCGAUGUUGAAACCCUCAACUAUGUUCCUGCAACACCUUCGUUCGAUACAACCUUUGAAACCCAGAUAAGGAUCAAGAACACAAACUGGGGUCCUUACAAGUUUGAUGCAGGCACUGCCACAUUUUUGUACCAAGGUGUGACUAUUGGGAAAGUUGAUAUUCCUAAGAGCAAGGCCGGAAUGCGUUCCACCAAGAAAAUCGAUGUUGAGGUGAGUUUGAAUACUAAUGCAUUGCCAAACAGUUCUGCUCUCGGAACUGAAUUGAGCAGCGGGGUGUUGACACUUACCAGCCAAGUUCAACUGAAAGGAAAAGUUGAGUUGAUGCUUAUAAUGAAGAAAAAUAAGAAUGCCUCUAUGGACUGCACAAUAGCAUUUGAUUUGUCAUCAAAGACAGUUCAGAGCUUACAAUGCAAAUGAUCAGAUUUGCUAAACAGUGAGUGAUGGAGGGUGGGAGCUAGGCUGCAUCUACCACAUGGAUUGCUGGAGGAUCCAAGUCCUAGUUUUUAAUUUCUACUGUAUUGCCACUAUCUUAUUCUUUUAUUCGUUUUGUGAAUUGAAGCAUAUGUAUUUGUUGUGUGAGUUAUAUAAACGAGUAUGGUGUUUAGUAAUCUUAAUCAAUGUUCAACAAAUUAAGACCAUAAACCCAACCAAAAAUAAUUAAAACAAACAGAACGAAAUCAUUCCAAUAGAGCUAACAAAUUGACGACUCAUACCUUGGCGGUGUCGACAUCACCGUUUCUGUUUCAAACCCUAGCUCCACCUCCCCUGACGGCUUCGACAUCGUCGUUUCUGUUUCAAACACUCAGGUAUGUAUACACACUUCUCCGUUGGGUCUAUUUGGGCCUCUCUUUCCAGUUUGGGCCUUCGGGUGCAGCACAAAUAAUAUGUUACGGGAAAUUAGAUGAAAGGAAAUGUCAGGGUUAAGGCUUAAUUGCUUUGUUCACUAAAGUUUUAAGUAUUUGGAGCCAGAUGACUUGGAUAGGUGAAUCCGUGAAUGUAUAGGUAGAUCUCUGUGGUCUGUGGAUUAAUGAAAGGAAGGCAAAAGUGAUUGAUAUGACUUGCUACAUGUAUGUUUUAAGCUAACACUGCCCAAAUAGAAGAGCUAUUGAAAUCACCUCAAACAUUGUUGUUGUGAAGAAACAAAGGCAACGAGGAAUGUAUCUCAUGUAUCUUGGGUGAGAGAGAUGCUCCACAAAAAGCGGAGCGAGAAUACCAAAACCUAGGGUUUUGGCGUUUGGCGGCGGAGAACUCUGACUGCGGGCUUUGUGACGGCAUCUCAACUCGGCGAGGCGCGAGGCGCUCAGACCUGUACGUGGACUGGAUGAGGCAGUCUUGGUUACAGCGAAUAGAGGCAGAUGGUUUUUGGUUCUCGUUGGCGUCUGAGACGGUGGAGUUCGACUGCAGGUUUUGGGAGCACCGUCCUUGGAGGAGGUGGUGUACAGGAAUCUGACUGACAGAGGUGAAGCUAUUCCGAUCUAUUCUUCUUAUCGGGGUUGAUUGGGAGCGUGGGUAGCAGCGGCGGCUGACGGCAAGGAUCAUGGGUUUCAAGGCGGCUAAGCCACCGGACUGAAUCUGGGGCAGGAGGCUCCUCCGACGACCUAGUCUCCAGCCUGAUCUGGGAGAGAUGAAGAACUAGUUUGGGCCUGGGUCUUAGUUUGCUGGGCUGCAUGUCACAGCCUGGUGGGUUGAGCCUUUGGACCUCCACUUCUUCUCUUCUCUUUUCAUUUAGGUUUGGGCUUGAGACUAGUUUGAUAGAUGGGCCGAUAGAUCCCUACAUAACCCUAUUGAAGAGUCUAUCCCCUUUUUUUAUGGAAAGGUACACCGUACACCGAAAUGGUCUCAGGCAUCAAUUCAUUGAGUUGGAGUACUUUGGUUUAGUUAUGUAGGUUAUUGAUUUCUAGGCUAAAAUAAGUCCAAUUUUGGACAUUAGGCUUUUUUAGUUUUUUGGUAGAGUUUGGAGUUUUUCUUUUGUUUUGUAGACAUGUUUCUAACAUGAAUAUGUGCAUCGCAUUGUAGUAUGGAGUUUGUUCCUCGGACACUCUCCUAACUUGACCUAGUACGGUCGUAUGAUUAAAAUCAAAGGAGCUUGACUCUAUUUUCCCUCAAAAAAAAGAAAAAGAAAUCACCUUAAACUGUUGAAUAGAAAAAAAAAAAAGAAAAAGAAAAAGACUGCAGAAGUGCUUGUUUUGCCAUAUGCUUCUAAGCUCAGCAGUAGGAAGUCUUCAAGUAACAUUAGCAUAUCAAUUUUCAUGUCACAGACGUAGCCUGACAAUAAGAUAAUCCAUCAAUACAUACGCAAUAGGAGUGGUCUAUUAAGUGAAGGCAUCAGAGAAACAAUAUAGUACAACAACAGAUACAAAUGUUACUCAAAAACAACGAAAUGAAACAUGAUACAAAUAAUCAAAGAAUUAAGAGCUACUCCCAAAACCACACCUAAGGUCUGGCCUAAUCUCAAUCUACAAUUCUCCAUCAUCAAAUUUACAGGCGCUAUAUACAAAGUGCCAGAAUUCCGCGCUCUUCUGCUGAUCAUUUGCAUUCCAAAGCUUGAAUUGUCUUUGUGGACAAAUCAAGUUUCAUAGUGCAGUUCAUUGUGGCGGAUUUCUUCUUUUUCAUUAUAAGCAUCAGCUCAACUUUUCCAGUCAAUUUAGCUUCGCUGGUCAACGUUAGUACUCCACUGCUCAAUUCACUUCCAAGAUUAGAAGUGCUUGGAAUUUCAUUGGAAUUCAAACUCACCUCAGCAUUAAUCUUUUUGGUGGAACGCAUUCCAGCCUUGCUCUUUGGAAAGGAAACUUGCCCCACUGCUACACCUUGGUACAUGAACGUUGCAGUGCCUGCAUCAAACUUAUAGGGACCCCAAUUUGUGUUCUUGAUCCUGAUUUGGGUUGCAAAGGUUGUGUCGAAUGAUGGAGAGGUAGGGACAAAGUUGAGGUUUUGGACAUUGGUGGCGCCCAAUCUCACCUUAGGGGUCUUCACUUUCAUGACAGUGAGACCAAAUACAGUCAUGACUAUGAUCUGGAACCCAAUGAAAAUGCCAAUAUAUGUAAACAACUUGAUCCUCUUCUGGCGUUUGAGCUCUUCCUCGGAUUGGAAGGUCGGCAGUUGCUCAUCUUUUUUUGUAGCGUAACCCUUCACUGAUGCCAAUGCAUGUUUGAACUUUUCAGCCAUCUUUAAUGUUCUCUUUUUUUCUGUUUAGCUCUCAAAAAUAUGAACUGUGCUUGUGUUUGGCUUCCUCCUGCUAGGUUAUCGAGGUAUUUAUAGUUUUCCAUUGAUGGAGUUUAGAGGAGAUGAUGAUGCGAGCUUCCUACCUUCCAGGAAAUACUGAAAUGUAGCCAAGCGCGCGUAAUCUGGAAUCUGUGACUUUGUAGUCUUCUAGAUGAUGUGCUCAGUUUUGGUGCUUUCGGUAAGAUGAAGUCUUUAGGCUUACAUUGCUCACAAAGAAAAGGAAAGAUGUCUUAAUUAAGCAGACUUAGAGAUCCUUGUUUAUGACGUAAAAGGUCAUAAUGCAGUCAUGGCCUUCUAUUAUUCUAAACUUCGUUUACCAUUACAUUAUGACAUAUGAGCAGAACACCAAAGGAGUCCUCAUUCAUCAUCUAGAAGUCAAUAAUUCCCACCUCAGACACGUUUGCUGUCUGAAAUUAUAUUCUUCCAGCGAGUUUAUUCCCCUAAUAAUUUAAUUUAACUGUGCAUACUCCAACCACUAUAGUCUCUAUAUAUACAUACACUACUCUUCUAUCAUUUCCACACAAACAACUAUCUUCACUUCCUAGUUUCAUCCUAGAAACACAAAACUGAAACAGAGGAAAAACAGAGAAGUUUUCUUUUUAUUCGACAUCAGAAACCAAAAGAGAUCGAGAUGGCUGAGAAGACACACCAAGGUUAUCCCCCGGCGCAAGCAAACGGUUACACAAGAAGCGAUGGAGAAUCUUUGGUGUCCGAAGAUGAGCUCAAGCGCAAGAAGAGAAUUAAGUGUUUUGCUUACAUUGGUAUUUUCAUUGUGUUCCAGAUGGCCAUCGGGGCUGUGUUUGGUCUCACUGUGCUGAAAGUUAAGACCCCCAAGGCCAGGUUGGGGGAAAUCAGUGUCCAAAGCCUCACAUCUGUCCCUGCAACACCUUCAUUCGACACAAAGUUCACAACACAGAUAAGGAUCAAGAACACAAACUGGGGUCCUUACAAGUUUGAUGCAGGAACUGCGACGUUCCUGUACCAAGGCGCUGCUAUUGGGAAAGUCGAUAUUCCCAAGAGCAAGGCAGGAAUGCGUUCUACCAAGAAGAUCAAUGUCGAGGUGAGUUUGAAUGCUGAUGCAUUGCCAAGCAGUUCCAAACUGGGAAGUGAAUUAAGCAGUGGGGUGUUGACACUGACCAGCCAAGUUCAGUUGAAAGGCAAAGUCGAAUUGAUGCUCAUAAUGAAGAAAAACAAGAAUGCUUCAAUGGACUGCACCAUAGUAUUUGAUUUGUCAUCAAAGAAAGUCAAGAGCUUACAAUGCAAAUGAUCAGAUAAAGCUAAACAGUGAGUGAUGGAGGGUGGGAGCUAGGCUGCAUCUACCACAUGGAUUGCUGGAGGAUCCAAGUCCUAGUUCUUAAUUUUCUAUUGUAUUGCUACUUUUUAAUUCAUUUAUUCGUUUUGUGAAUUGAAGCAUAUGUAUUUGUUGUGGAGUUAUAUAAACAAGUAUGGUAUUUAUUAAUUUCUUAACCACUGAGGUUGCUGUUUUUUGUUCCUUUCUUAUUUAUCUGAUUCUGAUCGAAUAUAGGAGGUAUGUAGAUAAAGAAAUAAAGAAUACAGAAACAGAUGAAUACACUAUAUACAGAGCAGAAACAGAACAAAUAAUUGGGCAUAUAAAAUUUAUGGAUUUGGAUCCUCUCUUUCGAAUGUGCAUUAUUACGAUUGUAACACCAUACAUCCAGAAAACAUAUAAACUCAUUCUUUCUCAUGUUGAUGCACAUAAUCGAAUGAAAUCCAAGUUUGAAACAAAUGAUGCUUAAUCUAUGCAAAAGUAAGAACACCCUGUUGAUUUCAUCCUCAAUUUUUCAUCAUCAUUUGCUUGCUCUUAUCCACCAUCAAAGGUUGCAGAGCGAGUUGUUUAACCCUCUAUACAGGCAAGUCUUCUCUGCCUUGAGAAAUUAGGGAUUCUGUUUAGGUUUUUUGUGCCUCCCUUGCUUAACCAAAAGCCUAAUUUCUGUUACUUUCCAACACUCCUCUCUGUUACUUUCCAAUAAGAAAGACAGCCAAACUGUUCUAAUAAUAAAAUGUACAAGCACACAUGCUACAUGCUAUCAUAUUUAUGUCCACCUGCAAAUAAAUGGAGUCACAGAGUUGGUUGCAUGUCAAAUUAUUAAGUGUAACUGUAUAUGAAUCCUAAUACGUCUAAUGCUUUCUAAACCACAAUACUGUUGGGAGUUAAACUAAAAUUAAGUGUAGGAGUUGGAUAAUAGUAGUGCAUUUUGCGUCUCUCAAAAGCGUUCUUUAGAAACUCGGUACACGAGCUUAAAUUGUACAUUUCUAAUAACAUGCGUGUGUGCUAGAAACGUUUAACUAAAUUUCUCCGUUAAAAUGUGUUGUGUCACGGACUCACAUCUAUAACUUCACAAAUAUCCAACAAACAUUAAUGUACGGAGACAACCAAUUAACAAAUUGAACAACUGUAUAGUGUAUAGCCAGUGGCCACCAUAGAAGAUGCUUCUCUUCUCAUCAGCACCCUAUUCUUGACCAAGUAGAGCCCCGUUUGGAUGAUUAUCAUAUAAGCAAAUUGUGUAUCACUCUACUUCUAGAUUAAGAUUGUCAACAAAAUAAGACCCAGUACUCUCAAGUCGAUAAAAGAAAGAAAAAUUUACACAUGCUACAUUCCCUUUUAUAUAUUUCAGUUGAAAAUUUCCAUCUAGAAGAAUAUCAAGUCAAACACUUGCAGCCACCGUUUCCUCAAACACAUUGAACAAAACACUAUAAAUAUAUCUUCUUGCUCAGUUCAGUUUCCACAAACAAUAUAACUUGCUCAGUUCAUAUUCAUAGUUUUAAUUUUUAAAGCAGCAGAGAGAGAAAGAGAUUACAUUUUCUUUUCAAAUUUCCAAGGAAGAUCAGAAAAAUGGCCGAGAAGAACCAGCAGGCGUAUUCAUCAGCAAAUGGCUACACCAGAAGUACGGACCAAGAAUCCUCCCCCUUCCAAUCCGACGAGGAGCUCAAGCGCCAGAAAAGAAUCAAACUGUUCACCUACAUUGGUAUUUUCAUUGUCUUUCAAAUCGUAGUGAUGACUGUAUUUGGUCUCACUGUGAUGAAAGUUAAGACUCCGAAAGCCAGAUGGGGAGAAAUCACUGUCAAAACCCUCAAUUCUGUCCCUGCAGCGCCUUCUUUCGACACAACCUUUGAAACCCAGAUAAGGAUCAAGAACACAAACUGGGGUCCUUACAAGUUUGAUGCAGGCACUGCCACAUUUUUGUACCAAGGUGUGACUAUUGGGAAAGUUGAUAUUCCUAAGAGCAAGGCCGGAAUGCGUUCCACCAAGAAAAUCGAUGUUGAGGUGAGUUUGAAUACUAAUGCAUUACCAACCAGUUCCGCUCUUGGAAGUGAAUUGAGCAGCGGGGUGUUGACGCUGACCAGCCAAGUUCAAAUGAAAGGCAAAGUUGAGCUGAUGAUGAUAAUGAAGAAAAAUAAGAAUGCCUCCAUGGACUGCACAAUAGCAUUUGAUUUGUCAUCGAAGACUGUCAAAACCCUACAAUGCAAGUGAUCAUCAUCCGUCAGACAAGUAAAUACAGGAGGCCGGAGCGAUUUACGCUGUAUCUUCAGAUAGCAGAUGAUCGAAGACUAGUUGAUUUGCAUUCUUUUAUAGUUUUAUUCAUGAUUUCGUGUGAUGCUUGGAUCAAUUAAGUUGUUGCCGGAUUGAUUAUAGUGAUAUGUUUUCUGAGUUUCUAAGUACUGGGGCCUCUGUUUUUCAUUCUCUUAUCUGAUUGAAUAUAGAUACUGCAAGAAUAUCUGGCUACUUGCAUAAGAGCCUGUUAGAAUGAUAACAAAAUGCAAAUAGCUGGCUUCUUUGUCAUGCUCAGUCACCUAACGUAAACUAUCUUCAUACUGACUCAUUUCUCCACUGUUUCACAACUUUAAGGCAAUUUUUUUUUUUUUUUCUUCAAACUAGUCGACAAUCGAAUGAUUAACACUCGAGGGCUUGAGGGGCAGCCGAGAAGCUGUGGAGACGGCAAACUCGCCGGAUAAAAUGGAACACACAUCUUGCAAACAUUCAAUACAUCAUUUGGCUUGCUUAUUCAAAGUCCAUGUAAACAACUAAACAUGUUAUUCGAUGACCUUUUGAUAACUUCAGACUUCAGAUUCAAUACUACUCGUGAUAAAAUCCCUAUCUAUGGCCGGCGCAAACCCAAUGAAGUCACUAGAAGCACUGAAAUGAUAUCACGGGUAGGCCUUUUCUAACCACAUUCAAUCCUUAUUAUCUAAUGCCAAUAAAAUACAACUUAUAUAUGCUUGUAUCUCAUGCUUGUAUCCAUGACUAACUAUCACCAGAAAAUGGAGUAGAAACGGACAAGAAGUUACAAGAUGCUUUAGCCAGCAAACAAUAACAAAUUGCCAAAAAAAAAUGACCGUGUAAAGCCACCAAUUCCAUUCAAGAAAUUCCAGCCUUCUUUUCUUGACUAGUCUCUAGUCAACUACAAGAGUGCAAAUCACAUCACGCGUUGUAUAAUACAACAUAUCAACUCCUUCAGAUUAUUUCAACAUGAUACCAAACUUCAUUUUAUGUCAUAUUAGCUUGAAAAAGAGCUUGAUGUGUAUGUAUCAAGGUUAAAAAAUAAACGUGUUAAGAUGAAGGUUCUAAAUGCGUGGAAAACAAAAGCUUUUCUUUGAAAGCUUGUAAGAAGAUUAGAGUGAUGGACUGAUGGCAGAGAGCAGAAUAUAAAACUUACAUAAGAGAACAGAGUAUUUACAGAGUAAGGACAGCGCAUGAAAAGAUUAAGAAACAGAGUAAGAACAGGGGAAUGGAAUUCUAAACAUACUAUCAUCAAAUUAAUAUGAAUAUUUCAAACAUCAUGUAUAAAGCUUUACAACAAAUCCCAGUGUCACAAGGAAAAAUAAUGAAUGAAAAAAUUAACAAAUCAAGAACUAGCUAGUAUCAUCAUUUGCAUUGUAAACUUUGGACGGUCUUUGUGGACAGAUCGAUUGCCAUGGUACAGUCCAUCGUAGCAGAUUUCUUUUUCUUCAUUAUGAGCAUCAACUCCACCUUUCCAGUCAAUUUGGCUUGGCUAGUCAGCGUCACCACCCCACUGCUCAAUUCACUGCCAAGAGUAGAACUUCCGGUCAAUGCAUCCGAGUUCAAACUCACCUCCACAUUGAUCUUCUUGGUGGAACGCAUUCCAGCUUUGCUCUUAGGUACUGACACUGUCCCAACAGGCACGCCUUGGUACAUGAAUGUUAUGGUGCCUGCAUCAAAUUUAUAAGGACCCCAGUUGGUGUUUUUCACCCUGAUUUGGGUGUUGAAUGUUGUGUCAAACGAAGGCGUGGAUGCUGCUGCGUUCAAGUUUGUGAUGCUGAUUUCGCCCAAUCUCACCUUGGGGGUCUUGACUUUCAUCACAGUGAGACCAAACACGGUCAUCACUAUGAUCUGAAAAACAAUGAAGAUACCAAUGUAGGUAAACAACUUGAUUCUCUUCUGGCGUUUGAGCUCCGCAUCGGUUUGCAAAGUUGCAGAUUCUUCAUCCUUCCUGGUGUAGCCUUUCACCGAUGCAACAGCUUGUUUGAUCUUCUCAGCCAUUUUCUUUAGUGACUUGGAUUUUCUUAGACUGUGUUUUCUCUCUUUCUACUGAAACUUUCUUUUAGCGAGUGUUGCUUGUGGGAAUGUUAGCUUCAGCUGCGCUGAUAUAUAUAGUUAACCGCCUCCGAGUUCAAGUAUGCUUCCAGGAUAUGCUGAAGUGUAACGCGCGUAGUAUAGAGUAGCUGAUAAGUCUUCUGCUCUUCUAGAACGCAUUCCUUGAGGAGUUGAAGUUUAGGUUUCUGCUGCAAGACAAAGUCUUUGUUAGCUUAAACAAAAUAUGGAUCAAAUUUAAAUAAAAAGAUACUAAAUAUAAAUUUCUUUUAUUCUUUACUUCGUUUUUUCUUUUCUUUUUGUCUCAUGAGUUUAAAACGAGGGAAUGGUCAAUGCAGGCAUGAAUUUAAUAUCCAGGUGAACUUAUGUUCUCACUUGUUGUAGGAAAAAGGCUAAAACGACCUCAUCAUCAAAGUCAUCGAUCAUCUAGAAGAUAAUUGCUAAUUAAUCAACAGAUUUGGACGCGUUUUGUGUCUAAAAUGAAAUACAACUUCCAGGAAACUCAUUCGCCUAAUUAACUUGUUGAAAUUGUCCAAAUCUCCAAAGCCUAUAUAUACACACAGACUUCUACGUUCCAUUUCAUCAUCAUCACAAACCAGUUCCUUCAUUUCCUAUAGUUCCAUCAUCAUCACAAAACAAACCCACAACACUAGCUACUUCUUUCAGUUCCUUUUCGUUUGCAUCAGAAAAUUAAGCAAAACAAACAUGGCUGAGAAGACACACCAGGCUUAUCCUUUGGCUCCGGCAAACGGUUACACAAGAAGCGAUGGAGAGUCUUUGUCCGAGGACGAGCUCAAGCGCAAGAAGAGAAUCAAGUGCUUUGCGUAUAUUGGUAUUUUCAUUGUGUUCCAGAUGGCCGUCGGGGCUGUGUUUGGUCUCACUGUGCUCAAAGUGAAGACCCCCAAGGUGAGACUCGACACAACAAGCACCCUCUCAGGCGUCACCUCUUCCAGCUCAACCUUCAACACCCAGAUCAGGGUCAAGAACACCAACUGGGGUCCUUACAAGUUCGACGAAGGGGUCGUGACAUUCAAGUACCAAGGUACACCUGUUGGGACAUUCACUGUACCAAAGGGCAAGGCCGGGAUGCGUGGCACCAAGAAGAUCAAUGCGAUUGUGAGCUUGAACACCGCUGCAUUGAACAGCUCUGGCGAGUUGACGCUGACCAGCGAAGCGAAGUUAACCGGGAAGGUGACGUUGAUGUUCAUCAUGAAGAAGAAGAAGUCUGCGAGUAUGAACUGCACCAUUCAAAUUGAUGUGUCUGGACAGACAGUCAAGAGUGUAGUAUGCAAGUGAUAUACUAGAAAACUGAGACACGCUAUAGCUCUGUACUAGGUGAUGCCCGCGCGUUGCCGCGGUUUGCAAUGCCGGAUAUUAACUACCGCAACUGCUUCUGUUUUGUUCAAUAUUGUUGUUGUUUGAUAUGCCGAUAGAAUGCAGCAAUAUCACAUAGGUGAUGGACAAACUGCACUGACUUGGACAGUGAUAAAAACCUGAAAAUAUUGCGAGUACAUGGUGAGUACAUUGACUACCAUGUCCAUCUCAAUAUUGUGAUUUUCUAGCAUUAUAAGUGGAAAUAACAGUUUGCAAUUGUAAGAUAUAUAAAUUGGUACGGAAGGACAUUUUUUUAGCAAGACACGAACCAAUUUUUCAUAUGUACAUGGGACAUCAUAGUAGGUGCCAUUAACAUUAAGCUUGCGUGUGCAAUUCAAACGCGCGGGCAUCACCUUCACCGAACAAAAUCAUUCAAAACCAUCAUAUCACACAGUCAACAGUCAUUUCUUUGUCAAACGUGUACCAAUGUUGCUCCAAUGAAAUUCACCGUCACAUCACUAACGCCCUUUGCAUUUNNNNNNNNNNNNNNNNNNNNNNNNNNNNNNNNNNNNNNNNNNNNNNNNNNNNNNNNNNNNNNNNNNNNNNNNNNNNNNNNNNNNNNNNNNNNNNNNNNNNNNNNNNNNNNNNNNNNNNNNNNNNNNNNNNNNNNNNNNNNNNNNNNNNNNNNNNNNNNNNNNNNNNNNNNNNNNNNNNNNNNNNNNNNNNNNNNNNNNNNNNNNNNNNNNNNNNNNNNNNNNNNNNNNNNNNNNNNNNNNNNNNNNNNNNNNNNNNNNNNNNNNNNNNNNNNNNNNNNNNNNNNNNNNNNNNNNNNNNNNNNNNNNNNNNNNNNNNNNNNNNNNNNNNNNNNNNNNNNNNNNNNNNNNNNNNNNNNNNNNNNNNNNNNNNNNNNNNNNNNNNNNNNNNNNNNNNNNNNNNNNNNNNNNNNNNNNNNNNNNNNNNNNNNNNNNNNNNNNNNNNNNNNNNNNNNNNNNNNNNNNNNNNNNNNNNNNNNNNNNNNNNNNNNNNNNNNNNNNNNNNNNNNNNNNNNNNNNNNNNNNNNNNNNNNNNNNNNNNNNNNNNNNNNNNNNNNNNNNNNNNNNNNNNNNNNNNNNNNNNNNNNNNNNNNNNNNNNNNNNAAAAUACAGAUGACUCACUAUCGAUCAAAGCGAACCAAAUGCAAAUCUUCCCCUUUUCCUCUUCACCACAGUUUAAAUAGCUGAUACUGUGUAACUACCAUAUGACAAAAAGAUAACGACAUAAAAACCCAUGAUGAAAGAAGAUCACCAUAUGAAAAUCCAGAAGAAAAAAAAGUUGAAACCAAACAAAGCCUAAUAAAAAAAAUAAUUGAACAGAAAAUUUGUUCAUACUGAUUAGCAGGGCCACUGAGAUGGUUUCUCCUGAAAGCCUUGCUUUAGUGUUCGACUCUAAUCAAAACAUAUAAAAAAUUGGAGAUUUAACUUUAAUCGAGCUCAUCCUUAUUUUAAGGCAAUAACUUAGUUGGGGUUCAGUAAUUGGUGGCCAUCUUUAAGAUCAAGUCUCCGUUCUGUUGCUAGAUGGGUCUGUAUCCUUUUUGGUACUGCACCAUUUCCAUGAGAGAAUUUGCCUUUAUCAUCAGUAACAGGGAAAGACCCAUAAGCUUUAAGCCUGUCCUGCAAAAUGGCAACAGCCUUGGAAUUCAAAAGGGCAAUAAUAUUUUUCCUAUAUAGAAUUUCACCAAAACUUCGCCAAUUUCCAGGACAGAGAAAAAUAUCUGAUACAUGUGUUAUUACAAACAUGAAGUAGGUCAUGCCAUAUACCUGAAUAAAUGCAAGAGGUUUAGACAUCCUUUGUUCAAAGGCCUUUGGAGUCCCACUUAAGUGAAAACUCUGAUGCUAUGUCUUUCAUCAACUGAACCUUCUUCUCAAUUCUGGGAGGUUGGGAAGCUAUAUUCUCAACAAACUAUUAAGUAGAAAUUCAGUUAGUCAGCUGAAUAAUAACAAAAAAGAAAAAAGAAAAAGAUAAUGCACUGAAGAGACGCAUCUUUCAAUCAAGUAGAAGGAAACGAACAUAACAUGAAUAAUAAACGAAAACCCUUGGACACAUAAAUGGACUUCAAGCGACCAAAAUCAAACCUUACAAAAAAACAAAGUAGUAUUUAUAAGAUCAAAUGCAAAAUCCACCAGACAAUGUAAAUUUAAUGACAACCCACUGAAAGUUAAACUUUGCCUACAGAACACUCAUUCAAUCACAUUGCACUCAACAUCAGAACACAAUAAUAAUAAACUGAAAACGAAAAACAACUAACAAAAUACAAAUUAACACCACAAACACAUAUUCCAAUGCCCACGAUCCAAAAAUUGGAAACUGAAUCUAGUGAUNNNNNNNNNNNNNNNNNNNNNNNNNNNNNNNNNNNNNNNNNNNNNNNNNNNNNNNNNNNNNNNNNNNNNNNNNNNNNNNNNNNNNNNNNNNNNNNNNNNNNNNNNNNNNNNNNNNNNNNNNNNNNNNNNNNNNNNNNNNNNNNNNNNNNNNNNNNNNNNNNNNNNNNNNNNNNNNNNNNNNNNNNNNNNNNNNNNNNNNNNNNNNNNNNNNNNNNNNNNNNNNNNNNNNNNNNNNNNNNNNNNNNNNNNNNNNNNNNNNNNNNNNNNNNNNNNNNNNNNNNNNNNNNNNNNNNNNNNNNNNNNNNNNNNNNNNNNNNNNNNNNNNNNNNNNNNNNNNNNNNNNNNNNNNNNNNNNNNNNNNNNNNNNNNNNNNNNNNNNNNNNNNNNNNNNNNNNNNNNNNNNNNNNNNNNNNNNNNNNNNNNNNNNNNNNNNNNNNNNNNNNNNNNNNNNNNNNNNNNNNNNNNNNNNNNNNNNNNNNNNNNNNNNNNNNNNNNNNNNNNNNNNNNNNNNNNNNNNNNNNNNNNNNNNNNNNNNNNNNNNNNNNNNNNGACUGAAGCNCCUUNACUUGGCUNACCAUGGCUUGAAGAAAAUUAAAGUACAUGGAGAUAACGUUGUCAUUAAGGUCCUUCAACAUUGAUAACCUCACCUUUGGUCAAUGUUGGUUGUUUGCACAGAACCAAUAAGCCAAGUAAGAACUACACCACCAGUAAUGGGACUAAUAAGCACAUUAGCCUGUCAAGCAAGAAUUUGAAAAAUUAGGCUGUUUAGAAAGUAAAAUAAAUGUACUCAUGUAUAAUUUUCAUUAGACUGAAAUCAUAGCAUUCAUUCGAAAACCCACUACCCAGAUUCGUACCCUUCCUCCCCAAAUCAAAACCCAAUAAUCUCUCAUAUUACCUUUCACGAUUUCCUGCAGAAGAGCAACCCAAACCCUUCACUCUCCAUUGCAAGUCCAACAGACAAUCAUGAUCUGUCAUGUACAUUCCUGAAAACAAAAACAAAGGACAAAAAGGGGCAAACCAAGCACAAACGGUAUCUAAGUUAUCAAUUGAGAACCAAACUGAAAACCAAUUACCCAAAUCCAUGUUCUUCCAGCUUGCCCCGGGUUUGAUCUGAACAUGAGAGAGAGAAGCUUGGGCACCCUUUUUGUUCAACGACAGCAAUAGCAUCGUGCGCAAGAGAUGGAGAGAGCGAGGUCCAAAUGCGUGGAGAAUGGGAUUAACCUCAAGAUGAGACACAGAGCAGCUAUGUGGAAUAAAAAGAUCGCACCACGUGGAAACAACAUGCAGCAUCCCAACAUGUGGAAGGUGAUGGUAGUUGUGUAAUUAAUGGAAAACCGGAAGCAAAAACGACUUAACCCAAACUGGGGCAGAAACACAAUUAACCCAAACUUAGGGUAAAAACAUAAUUCACUAAAGAUAUGAACAGUUGUAUUCCCUUCCUGCUAUAGUAUAUAGAAAAAUACGGAUUUUUUUAUUAUAUUUUUUCUUGUAUUUGAUUUGUUGUGGAUAUAUAAAUGGUAUUUAUCUAUAUAGUGGUUAGCCACGUUAUUUUUCUCUCUUUAUUUGAAAUGAUCACGGCACCGAUCUAACGAUUUUGGGGAUGGGAGCAUAUUUCAUGUAUCAAAGUAAACUUGUACUAUCAAUCUACAAGUCACUCGAUUGGAGAUGUAAAAAUUGAAUGAAAACUGAAAACCCUUGAUUUCUUUUUAUAUUUCACAUCUUCGGUCAUAUUGAUUUUAAAAAAUCAUAUAAAAAAAUUGGCUCGAGAUUUUAUCAGUAAACAACUGAACAUGUUAUUUGAUGACCUUUCAAUAACUUCAUAUUCAAUACUACUCGUGAUAAGAUCCCUAUCAAUGGCCGGCGCAAACCCAAUGAAAUCACUAGAAGCACUGAAAUGAUAUCACGGGUAGGCCUUUUCUAACUACAUUCAAUCCUUAUUAUCUGAUGCUAAUAAAAUAGAACUUAUAUAUGCUUGUAUCCAUCACUCGAACUAUCACCAGAAAAUGGAGUAGCAACGGACAAGAAGCACAAGAUGCUUUAGCCAGCAAACAAUAACAAAUUGCCAAAAACAAAUGACCGUUGUAAAGCCACCAAUCCCAUUCAAGAAAUUCUAGCCUUCUUUUCUUGACUAGUCUCUAGUCAACAACAAGAGUGCAAAUCACAUCACGCGUGGUAUAAUACAACAUAUCAACUCCUUCAGAUCAUUUCAACUCCUAGAUACCAAACUUCAGUUUUAUGUCAUAUUAGCUUGAAAAAGAGCUUGAUGUGUAUGUAUCAAGGUUAUAAAAUAAACGUGUUGAGAUGAAGGUUCUAAAUGCGUGGAAAACAAAAGCUUUUCUUUGAAAGCUUGUAAGAAGAUGAAGAUUAGAGUGAUGGACUGAUGGCAGGGAGCAGAAUACAAAACUUACAUAAGAGAACAGAGUAUUUACAGAGUAAGGACAGCGCAUGAAAAGAUUAAGAAACAGAGUAAGAACAGGGGAAUGGAAUUCUAAACAUACUAUCAUCAAAUUAAUAUGAAUAUUUCUAACAUUAUGUAUAAAGCUUUACAACAAAUCCCAGUGUCACAAGGAAAAAUAAUGAAUGAAAAAAAAUAACAAAUCAAGAACUAGCUAGUAUCAUCAUUUGCAUUGUAAACUUUGGACGGUCUUUGUGGACAGAUCGAUUGCCAUGGUACAGUCCAUCGUAGCAGUUUUCUUUUUCUUCAUUAUAAGCAUCAGUUCCACCUUUCCGGUCAAUUUGGCUUGGCUAGUCAGCGUCAACACCCCGCUGCUCAAUUCAUUGCCAAGAGUAGAACUUCCGGUCAAUGCAUCCGAGUUCAAACUCACCUCCAUAUUGAUCUUCUUGGUGGAACGCAUUCCAGCUUUGCUCUUAGGUACUGACACUGUCCCAACAGGCACGCCUUGGUACAUGAAUGUUAUGAUACCUUCAUCAAAUUUAUAAGGACCCCAGUUGGUGUUUUUCACCCUGAUUUGGGUGUUGAAUGUUGUGUCAAACGAAGGCGUGGAUGCUGCUGCGUUCAAGUUUGUGAUGCUGAUAUCGCCCAAUUUCAACUUGGGGGUCUUGACUUUCAUCACAGUGAGACCAAACACUGUCAUCACUAUGAUCUGAAAAACAAGGAAGAUACCAAUGUAGGUAAACAACUUGAUUCUCUUCUGGCGUUUGAGCUCCGCAUCGGUUUGCGAAGUUGCAGAUUCUUCAUCCUUCCUGGUGUAGCCUUUCACCGAUGCAACAGCUUGUUUGAUCUUCUCAGCCAUUUCCUUUAGUGACUUGGAAAAGCUUAGAUUGUGUUUUCUCUCUUUCUACUGAAACUUUCUUUUAGCAAGUGUUGUUUGUGGCAAUGUUAGCUUCAGCUGCGCUGAUAUAUAUAGUUAACCGCCUCCGAGUUCAAGUAAGCUUCCAGGAUAUGCUGAAGUGUAACGCGCGUAGUAUAGAGUAGCUGAUAAGUCUUCUGCUCUUCUAGAACGCAUUCCUUGAGGAGUUGAAGUUUUGGUUUCUGCUGCAAGACAAAGUCUUUGUUAGCUUAAACAAAAUAUGGAUCAAAUUUAAAUAAAAAGAUACUAAAUAUAAAUUUCUUUUAUUCUUUACUUCGUUUUUUCUUUUCUGAGUUUAAAACGUGGGAAUGGUCAAUCCAGGCAUGAAUUUAAUAUCCAGACGAACUUAUGUUCUCACUUGUUGCAGGAAAAAGGCUAAAAAGUCCUCACCAUCAAAGUCAUCGAUCAUCUAGAAGAUAAUUGCAAAUUAAUCAACAGAUUUGGACGCGUUUUGUGUCUAAAAUGAAAUACAACUUCCAGGAAACUCAUUCGCCUAACUUAUUGAAAUUGUCCAGAUCUCCAAAGCCUAUAUAUACACACAGACUUCUACGUUCCAUUUCAUCAUCAUCACAAACCAGUUCCUUCAUUUCCUAUAGUUCCAUCAUCAUCACAAAACAAACCCACAACACUACUUCUGCCUUCAUUUCCUUUUCGUUUGCAUCAGAAAAUUAAGCAAAACAAACAUGGCUGAGAAGACACACCAGGCUUAUCCUUUGGCUCCGGCAAACGGUUACACAAGGAGCGAUGGAGAGUCUUUGUCCGAGGACGAGGUCAAGCGCAAGAAGAGAAUCAAGUGCUUUGCUUAUAUUGGUAUUUUCAUUGUGUUCCAGAUGGCCGUCGGGGCUGUGUUUGGUCUCACUGUGCUCAAAGUGAAGACCCCCAAGGUGAGACUCGACACAACAAGCACCCUCUCAGGCGUCACCUCUUCCACUACAUCGUUCAGCUCAACCUUCAACACCCAAAUCAGGGUCAAGAACACCAACUGGGGUCCUUACAAGUUCGACGAAGGGGUCGUGACAUUCAAGUACCAAGGUACACCUGUUGGGACAUUCACUGUACCAAAGGGCAAGGCCGGGAUGCGUGGCACCAAGAAGAUCGAUGCGAGUGUGAGCUUGAACACCGCUGCAUUGAACAGCUCUGGCGAGUUGACGCUGACCAGCGAAGCGAAGUUAACCGGGAAGGUGACGUUGAUGGGGAUGAUGAAGAAGAAGAAGUCUGCGAGUAUGAACUGCACCAUUCAAAUUGAUGUGUCUGGACCGACAGUCAAGAGUGUAGUAUGCAAGUGAUAUACUAAAAAACAGAGACACGCUAUAGCUCUGUAUACGGAUUUUUUUAUUAUAUUUUUUCUUGUAUUUGAUUUGUUGUGGAUAUAUAAAUGGUAUUUAUCUAUAUAGUGGUUAGCCACGUUAUUUUUCUGUCUUUAUUUGAAACGAUCACGGCACCGAUCUAACUGAAUGUGAUUUUGGGGAUGGGAGCAUAUUUCAUGUAUCAAAGUAAACUUGUACUAUCAAUCUGCAAGUCACUCGAUUAGAGAUGUGAAAAUUGAAUGAAAACUGAGAACCCUCGGUUCUUUUUUAUAUUUCGAUCACCUCCUCGGUCAUAUUGAUUUUGAAAAAUCAUAUAAAAAAUUAGCUUGAGAAUUUUUAGUUCUGUUAGUUCGAGAAUUGCUCAAAAAAUCAUGAGCUAAAAUGCGAGAAAAUUUUUAUGAAAAAAUGAGAACAUUGCUUUUUUUUUUUUUUUUUUUUUACCAAAAAGUAUGUGCUAUAGUCCAUGGUUUUUGAUGAAAAUCAACUUUUCGACAAAAUAAAUUAAUGUUGGAGAAAAUUCAGCAGUAGGCUCCCAUGGAGUUGGACCUUCAUAUCCUCACUAGUUUGCGGAUCACAUUUCUUCCAUUACAUAUAGCAUAUAUUUUAUUUCAUAGAUUUUGAUAGAGCUGUCACCUGAACCUUUCGAAGCAGCCUUGAGAAGCGAAAACUUUAGGAUUUUUCCGGCAAUGGCAACCCUCCCUUUUGUGGGUCGUUGAUCAUGCUAGGCAGACGGCGUGGGCAGGCUUCGUGCGGUUAAGCCGACGCGGAGCAGGCUUGUUCAUUCUUCAUUGGGGUCGACAACUUCGUAGUCGGAGGCUUAGUUUUGAUUUGGAACGGAAAUAUUUCACUCGCAUUCACAUAACGGUGAUAUUUCACUCGCAUUCACAUUUUCACUUGAUUGAUCAUAUUGACUUUGAAAACUUUCCUAAUUAAAAUGGAAAAACCAAAGUGACGAAUGACCCAAAACUCCAAACGUCAGGAACUGUUUUUAUUGAAAAAUUUAUUUUUAAAGUAAUGGACUAAUGCCAAAAUCUUUGAUUUUCUAUAGCCCUAUUUUGUUUUUUGUUUUCUAAGCCGGGCAAAGUCACCCGUGAGGUUGGAGCGGUGAUUCUUCCCCCCAUGCUGAUAGAAAUUUGAUGUUCUGUAGCUAGCUCUCUAUUCCUUAGAUAUCAGGAUCUGUGUUUAUUUCGAUUUCUGGUCGCUUCACUAUCGACGCCCAUAAUCGGAAAAGCUUAAAAUGCUUAAACUGCAUUUGUUCUCUCUCUUUCUCCCUUGCUUACUUUUUACAACUAUUAUUGUUUGUGGGAUUUUGGCUCCAGCAGCGUGACAUAUAUUCUUAGCCGCCUCCAAGUUAAUUUAAGCGUCAAGCAAGGAAAUGCUCAGGUGUAACGCGUAUAGUAUAGAGUAGUUGACUAUUCUUCUACUCUUCUACAUAUAAUUUUUUUUUUGGCUUUCAUGAGUUUAAAACGUGGGAAUGGUCAAGGCAUGAAAUUGAAUAUCAAAGAUGAGAUGUUGCUGCAGUUUUAUUUCAAUAUAGAGCCCACACUUCUCAAUUGUUGUAGGAAAAACGGUCCUCCUCAUCAAAGUCAUCGAUUAUCUAAGAUAACUGAUAAUUAAUCCCAUAUUUUGGGCGCGUUUUGUGUCUAAAAUGAAAUACAAGUUCCAGGAAACUCAUUCGCCUAAGUAACUUAUUGAGAUUGUCCAAAUCUCCAAAGCCUAUAUAUACACAGAGACUUAUACGUUCCAUUUCAUCAUCAUCACAAACCAGUUCCUUCAUUUCCUAUAGUUCCAUCAUCAUCACAAAACAAACCCACAACACUACUUCUGCCUCAUUUCCGUUUCGUUUGCAUCAGAAAGCAAAACAAACAUGGCUGAGAAGAGUCAGAAGACACACCAGACUUACCCUUUGGCUUCGGAAAACGGUUACACAAGGAGCGAUGGAGAGUCUUUGUCCGAGGACGAGCUCAAGCGCAAGAAGAGAAUCAAGUGCUUUGCUUAUAUUGGUAUUUUCAUUGUGUUCCAGAUGGCCAUCGGGGCUGUGUUUGGUCUCACUGUGCUCAAAGUGAAGACCCCCAAGGUGAGACUCGGCACAAGCACCCUCUCAGACGUCACCUCUUCCACUACAUCGUUCAGCUCAACCUUCAACACCCAAAUCAGGGUUAAGAACACCAACUGGGGUCCUUACAAGUUCGACCAAGGCGUCGUGACAUUCAUGUACCAAGGUGCACCUGUUGGGACAGUUGUUGUACCAAAGGGCAAGGCUGGCAUGCGUGGCACCAAGAAGAUC